CGCAGAUUCCAAGUAGCUUCCUUAAUUUCUGAAACGUGGAUAACUUCAAUGGCUUGGUCAUUAUGUCAGCAAUCUGAUCUUCACUUUUGCAGUAGAGAAAAUCAAUUAUUGCAUCCUUUGUGAGCUCCCUUAGAAAGUGAAACCUCACGUCUAUGUGCUUGGUUCUUCCAUAUAGAACUGGAUUUUUAGAGAGAUUGAUGGCAGAACUGUUGUCACAAUAAAUUGUAGUAGCUCCUUCUUGCUAAAAAUGUAACUCUUCAAGAAUAUUCCUUAGCCAAAUUGCUUGACAGGCACAGACUGUUACAGCUACGUACUCUGCUUCAGUUGUUGAUAACGUAACAAUUGGUUGCUUUUUUGAACGCCAUGAAAUUGCUGCUGAACCCAUCAUGAAUACAUAUCCAUACGUACUUUUUUUAUCAUCAGAAUCGCCUGCAUAGUCACUGUCAGUAAAUCCAAACAAAUCUGAUUUUUCACCAUUCUUGUAAAAUAAUCCAUACUCAAUGGUUCUCUGUAAGUAUCGAAGAAUCCUCUUAGCAGCUAGAAGAUGUGUCUCUCUUGGACUUUCCAUGUAUCUACUAAUAAGGCUUACAGCAUGCAUAAUAUCAGGCCUAGUUGCUGUCAAAUACAUCAAACUUCCCACAAUUUGCUUGUAAAGGGUGCUAUCAACCCUCUUCCUCUUGGUUCUUUGAUGAGUUUUAAACCCACUUCAACUGGCGUACUAACAUAAUUACAAUUCGACAUUUGAAAUCUAUUCAGAAUUUCUUGCACAUAUUUUCUUUGAGAGACAAAAAUUCCAUCAGCAGAUUGCACCACUUCAAUGCCCAAAAAAUAAUGCAUCUUUCCAAGGUCAGACAUAUCAAAUUCGGCCAUCAUAGAUUUCUUGAAUUUCUCAAACAUGGCACUAUCAUUUCCAGUAAAAAUAAGAUCAUCAACAUAUAAGCACACAAUCAGCAAUUUACCUCCAUCUCCAAUUUUUAUGAAAAGUGUAUGCUCAUAUGGACAUUUCUUAAAUCCCUCCUUAGAAAAAUAAGCAUUUAUACGACUAUACCAAGCACGUGGGGCUUGUUUUAACCCGUAUAAUGCUUUCUUGAGUUUGUACACCUUAUGUUCACUUCCAACCUUCACAUAACCAGAAGGUUGAUCAAUAAAUACCUGUUCCUGUAAAUCACCAUGUAAAAAUGCUGAUUUCACAUCCAACUGGAAGAUAGGCCAUGAAUUUUGUGCUGCCAAUGCAAUUACCAUCCUAAUUGUGUCAUGCCUUGCGACUAGAGCAAAGACUUCUCCAUAAUCCACCCCAAACUCUUGCUUAUAACCUUUAGCUACCAGACGUGCCUUGUACUUGUCAACUUCUCCAUUCUCCUUUAAUUUCAUUUUGUACACCCACUUGACACCUAUAGAUUUUUGUCCUUCUGGAAGAUUGGUUAAUUUUCAUGUGUUAUUUCGUUCAAUAGCCGCAAUUUCUUCAUCCAUUGCUUUCUGCCACUUCAAAUCUUUGAUAGUCUCUUCAAAAACUGUAGGAUUACAAUCGGAAAAUAGUGCAAAAUAUGUAAGUGGGUCUUCGGAUUGAUCAAUUCCAGUUACCUCAUAAUCAAUCAUCCAUGCAGGUCUUUUUCUAAUACAUUGAGGCCGUCCUUCAUCUUUUGCUACUAUUUGGGAAUUUGAUACAUCAUCUGGACCAUUUGGUGGAAUUUGUUCUGUCAACUGCUGCCUGUUUUCUUCAUCAACUCCAUCAAAAUCAACGGGUAUUUGUUAUUUAAUAAUAUUGCUGCUCCAUGGCCAAAAAUUUUCCUCAUAAAAAAUUACACCCCGACUGAUGACAAUUUUCUUGGUGAUAGGAUUAUAAAGCUUAUAAGCUUUUGACUGAUUACUAACACCAAGAAAAAUGCAUUUCUCCCCCUUAUUAUCUAGCUUUGUCCUCUUUUGCUCUGGAACAUGAGCAUAUGUAAUGCAUCCAAAAAUUUUGAAAUGAUCCACUGUUGGUUUUCGUCUGCUCCAUGCUUCCUCAGGCGUCAUAUUUUUAACAGCAAGUGCGGGACUUCUGUUCAAUAUAUGAAUACUCCAGUUGACAGCUUCAGGUCAAAAAUUUUUUGAAACACCACUUUUUGUCAAAAUGCUCCUCACCAUGUUCAAUAUUGUACGAUUCUUCCUCUCUGAAACCCCAUUCUGCUGUGGCGUAUAAGCUGCUACAAGUUGCUUCUGAAUUCCAUGCUCCUCACAAAAAUUUAUAUUAUACUCUCUACAACGAUUACUGCGGAAAAAUUUUAUGGAUUUGCCUGCUUCCUUUUCGACAAGAGUCAUGAAGUUUUUGAACGUUGAAAAUGCUUCAGAUUUUUCCUGUAAAAAACAGACCCAAGUUUUCCGACUAUAAUCAUCAGUAAACGUCAUAAAAUAACGUUUUUCACCAUUAGAUGACGGAUUUAUAGGUCCACAUAAAUUAGAGUGAACCAAGCUCCAAGACGUUUUUUGCUCUCCAUGAUUUUCCUUUUGAGAAGCUAUCCCGAUGUUGUUUGCCAACAACACACUUUUCACAAACUUCUAAAGGAGUUGUGAUUUGAGGUAAACCAACUACCAUAUUUUUCUGUUGCAAAUUUUUCAAUCCACCAAAAUUCAAAUGGCCAUAACGAAAAUGCCAUAACCAUGCCACAUCUUUCGAUUUUGCCGAGAAACAUGAAUGAGUCAAGUUUAGCAAAUAGAGUGGGAACAUACGAUUUGCGGUCAUCUUAACUUGAGCAAUUAAGCCCAACUUUGCAUCUCGAAUCUGACAUACACCAUCUUUGAUAAAAAUCUCGUACCCGUUUUCGAGCAACUAGCCCACGCUAAGCAAAUUUGUCUUUAAGUUUAGAACAAGAAGAACAUCAGUAAUAGUGUGGGUAGAAGAAUUUCCUUUGGUUUGGAUAAUUACCCUUCCUUUUCCCAUAACAGAAAUUGUAGAGUUAUCACCAAACUUGGCAGUACUACGGAAUUACUAGUCCAACUCAGAGAAUGCCUUCUUAUCUCAACACAUGUGAUUGCUGCAACUGGUGUCUAAAUACCACAUGUUUUGUUGAGUUUCUUCACUAAUGUGACACACCAUCAAAAGAGAUACUUCUUCUUCUUUUUCUGCAAAAUUAGUCCUUUCUCCAUUUUGUCUAUUUAAAUUAGUUCGACAUUCGGACUGAUAAUGGCCAUACCUAUGACAUUUGUACCAUUCAAUAUUGGACUUGUCUGCUGAUUUUGGCCUUUGAGUUGUUGAUGGAUAGCCUUCUCGUCCUCUUCUUUUUCCUUGAAAUUGAUUUCCUGGUGUUGGUAUUGUUGUUGUUGGUUGCCACGAUCAUUAUUUCCUCUAUCUCUGCCUCUGCCUCCUCUCCAUGUUGAGUGACUUUCUACUGAAGCCUUCAGUGCUUGCUCCUCUUUCUCUUGCUAGUUAAUUUUUUGCUCAUGAACCAACAAAGAACUCUGCAACUCAUCAAUUGAAAUUGCAUCAAUAUCUUUCGAUUCCUCUAUACAGCAUACAACAAAAUUAAAUUUUGUUGUCAUCGAUCGAAGAAUCUUCUCGACAAUGGUGAUGUCCUCCAAAUUUUCUCCAUGGAUCCUCAUCUUGUUAGCGAUUGCCAUCGUUCUUGCGAAAUAAUCAGUGACCGAUUCGCUUGACUUCAUGUGUAAAGUCUCAAAUUUGGUCCGAAGAGCUUGAAGCUGCACCCACUUCGCCUUUGCAUUUCCUUGAUACUUUUUCUUCAUGGAGUCCCAAAUUUGUUUGGAGGUAUCUUUGCUAAGAAUUGUCUCCAAAAUGGCUCGAUCAAUAGCUUGAAACAGAUAAUUCUUGGCUUUAAGAUCUUUCAGCUUCAAUACUUCCAACUCCAUUUUCUGCACCUCUGGCAAUGUUACUCCGGUUGUUGGCUCUGCUACUCCAGAUUUGACAACCUGCCAAUACUCCUUGGAUCUCAAGAAGUUCUCCAUUAGCAUACUCCAAUGAUCAUAGUGACCAUCAAAACGAGGAAUUGCUGGUUGCACAAAAUUGUCGGUGGCCAUCCUAAUUUACCAACACAAUUCUCACAACUCACUUUUGUUUUCACUCACAAGCCUAGCUCUGAUGCCACUGUUACAAUUAUUGAGGCAAAUAAUAAGAAAGGUAAAAGACAAGUGUUUAUUUCUUUGUAAAACUGACAUUCCUCAUAACAUGAGAUUACUCUAUUUAUAGAGUUUAAACCAACUCCACUAACUAUCCCACUAACUCCACUAACUAUCUCAAUGACUCCACUAACUCCACUAACAACUUCACUAACUCCACUAGUUACUCCACUAAUUCCACUAGUUAUUCCACUAACUCCACUAAUUCCACUAACUCCAUAAAUAAAUAUGAUUAAUUAACAACGGUAAAUAUUUCUAACAAAUUGCCUACCAAAAAUGGGCCUAUUGAUGAUGAUGAAGGCCACAGCGAAUCUGAUUGGUCUUGGUUUUAUGCUGGAAUGGGACCGGGUUUUGCUGUCGGGCUCUUGGGAGUUCUAGGAGUCCUUCUCUUCAAGAAGUCAUGGCGCUAUGCAUACUUCAAGUUUAUAGAAAGUGCUGUGACAAAAUCUGGGUAAUGAUCGCAUUGAAGACUACUCACCUGAGGAGGAAUUUCUGUUGAGUAAGUUCCUAUAAAAGCACUUAUACUCUGUUUUUCAUUUUGCUCUUUGAAAAAUUUCACAUUUCUGUAGGCCUUCCUUCAUCUAACUUAUUCUUUUUACUUUUAUAUGUUGAUUGCAGAGGACUAAUUAGAACUUAACAUUGAUAAUUUGCAAAAUUAUUGUAAUUUGUAAUUUGUUUUCCAAAUAUUUCUAAAGAUUUUUUUUAUGCAUCCCAACUUGCCCAAUUCUAUCCAAUGGGAAAAUGAUAGAGCUUAAUAAGUUUUUUUUUUUCAAACAAAGAAUAACGUAGCAACUGUAACGUAAACUAGUAGGUGCCUGUUACCAAUUAACUAAACCAAGAUGAUUCUAACAUCAAAUCAAUAGCUUUCGAAGGAAUUUUUUUCCCAAUAAACUAUUAUGUGAUUGGAAACCAAGUAUUUCCUUUCCUUACCUUUUGAAAAUUUUGAUCCCAAAACCUUUCUCUCUUUCUACCAGCAAUUGUUUCAACUCUCUCAAAAGUUUGAAAUCUAAUAAUUCUCUUAUAUUAUUCAUACUUACAUUACACUUUCUUAUGUUUCAUUAAAAUCGAUAUUACAAGAAUCUCAUUGAUUUUUUUAUUUAUGACUGAUUAUAAAGAUAAUUAUUUUACUGUUAGCAUUUGAAAGGAAUAAAUAUUCGAUGCCGAACAAUUUAGAUUGUUUAUCUUGUUCACUGAUCUAAUUCUCUGUCAACGGUUUUAUGCUUCAGAAGAAUUCUAUAGUAAUUUAUGCUAAUAGUUGAUGUAGUUAUUUAAUUUCUAAUUAGUUUACAAUCUAGCUUUUCUCCCAAAAACUCUUACAAACUACUAAUUAAUGUUUUUAGGUGCUUUUGAACUAGUGAUUAUUCUAGAUGAAUAAAUUUUUAUAAUCAUGUAAUGCUGAUAUAUAUUUUGCCCUUCCUAGAUUAGUUUUCUACCUCCUCCACCACAGCAAGGAAUAAAGAUUUGGCAAUUUUUAUAUUUUAGACCAGACAAUAUUGACUUUUCAUAUAUCUCUUUUUUGUUUGCUGGUUAUAAAUGAAAUUGGCACUUGGCCAGAGAAAAUUUACUAAUAUUAGUACUUUGUUAUCUUCCAAUCUGAUAGGCCCACAAUCAUUCAAGUGCUUGCUGCUGCUGUUGUUUGGCUCUCAGAAUGAGCAAUUUCUUCUAUGUGAUUUGAGAAGCAGUUGUAGUUUUACUGUAUUUUUGUAUGAUUAUAUUUUGAGUGCUUGCUGUUUUUUAGUUUUGAUUGGCAUCUGCUGAUGUAAUAUGAAAAUUAGACCUCCUUUUAUUUGCUAUGAAUUGUAUGUCAAUAAAAGUUAUAAUAGUUUGCCUAAAAAAUUUUAUUAUUUUGUUUUGCCUGACAAGAGGCUUCCAUAAACUAAACAAAAUUAUGCAGAAUAAUUAAAACAAGAGACUCCAUGUUUUGCUGUUGGCUUUGCAAUUCCUUAGAAAUGCUGAAUUCUUGAUGGUUUGGUUAAUAAUGGAAAAUAGUAAGGUAAGCAAAAUGAUUUCCAGAAAAAUAGUUCUUAUGUUUUGGAUUAUCGAUUUGUCAAGGAAAAUAUGUAGCAAUACAGAAAUCAAUCUUGAAUUCACUUUAUUUGUUUUCAUUUCUCAAAUUUCACAAUUCAGUAGAACAUAAUUUGACUCCCAAUCUUUAACCAAAAUUGUCUUCACAAUUUCAAUGCCAUCUUCAACCCACUUGCUUUUGAUGCUCAUAAACGCAUUUAAAAGAAAAAAGGAGUUGCCCAAUAUCUUGUAUAAAAAUUAAACAGCUGAAUUGCUAAGUUUAAGACCCUAUUUACCUCAAAAUUUACUAUGAGCAUUUAUCAAUUGCUUUGAUUUUCCUAAAAUACGCUUUUCUAUCUACAAAAGCAAAGAAAAAAAUCAACCGUCAACUUCUUUAAAACUUCCCAUCGUAAACAGACUACGUUGUUGCGCCAUUGUAACAUUGUUUGAUCAAACAUAGUAACUAGAGAUUUUCUUACUUUAUUUUAUUUUUAUUGUAUUUUUCUAUUUUAAUGUAAGUAGAAAGUGUUGAAUCCAAGAUCUCUUAUUUGUACUUCGUUCCCGCUUACCAUCCAAUCCAUCCCUCCCCCUCUAACAACUAGAGAUUGUAAAAUUGUUUAAUAAAUGUAAUUACUCUUAAAUUAUGUUACUAAUUAUGUGCAAUUUAAUAUCAGAGGUUUUGCAAGUAUUUUCAAGAGUUUUUUUUUUGCCAAAUAGUUAUAAUUUGUGUUAAAAACAAUUAUCAUUAUUUGUUAUUCCAAUUUUGUCCUUACAUGACGAAGUAUUUUAUUGCCAUCUCAUCCUCGAAACCGUCCAUGUUGACAUACUUGCUACUUCUAAGUUCUGUACUUAUCCAACACUGCUAUAUAUAUCCAAGUCUUCCAGCUAACUUCAAUUAAAAAAAUCCCAUUAUUCUAUAAUUAAUUCUUUUGCUCUAACUAGUUUGUUAUUCUUUAAUUAAUUCUUUUGCCUCACCUAGUGAUCCUAAUAAUUGCACGAACUAGUAUGAACUAGACAAAAUUUGCUUCUUGUGAGGCCCGUUAUUCAACAUUUACAGGAGUUGCCAUUUUAUUAAUUUAUCGAUAGUAAUUAGUAAUAGAGAAGGACAAAAUCAUUACCUUAGUAGUUUUGACAUAGAGUUUUAGGGCCCGUGCAGUUGAAUGUAGAGGAGGAUUGUGUAGAGCCAUGUUCAGGUUGGGCCAAAAAAUCGACUCAUUAUGGUGAAAUGGAGCCGUAAAUUCAUGGGCCUGGAAUUCCAGAAAAUAUUCCAAAUCUUUAGUUGGUGGUUCAGCUGCAAAUCAUCUAAAGUCAAUUGCUGCCAUCCCCCAAUGAGCAGCGACUUCAAACCCAAUUGAGGAUUUUUUUUUUUUUUUUUGUUCAUGUACAACUGGAAGCUAAAAGGUAACUUUAUUCAAGUUCACCUAUAAAAAGCGAUUUUAGAACAUUGAUAUUUUGGUUUUUACUUUAACACCACAACCUAAGAACAUUGAUGUUUCCGCAAAUUCUUUUGACAAACAAUACCCAUUAUUUCUAUUUGUUACUAGCAUAAAAGUUCUUAGAAAUUAGAAAACAUUGAUGUUUAUACUCUAGAAUAUUGAUUUUUUUUUUCAAUUGUCACCUUUUGCAUUGAAUUUCCAAUUAUCAGGAUAAAUACGAACAACACAAUUAAAUUAGAGGGAGACUAUUGGAAAAAUGAGAAGUUCAAGGGUAAAUAUUUAAACAAUAUCACAAGGAUAAAGUGAAUAAAAAACGGGAAAAUUUUUGAAACUUCUUCUAAGAUCUCUGAAGAUUUCACCUAGCUCCCUUUUAAAUUCAACAAUUACGCUAACCACUCUAGUACUUAUUUUUUUUGGUAACAAGAUCUUUGAAAAGACACAAAUUUCACAUAAAAAUUCUAAAUUACCAUUCUUUUUUUUUUAAGAAUGGUAAUUAUGUUGCCUUAUAUUAUUCUCUCUACCACCAAAAUUCACCAACACUACCAUUUUUCUACCUCCACAACCACCACCAAGGUUACCUCUAUUACCACUAUCACAGGCCAGCAACCAGUGCCCAAAGGGAAAAUGAAAGUGAUAGAAAAUUCUCUAGUACUCUUUUCUUUCUACCACUAGAGCCAUCGCUAACAAUUUUAUCCCUGUUACUAAUAUGUUGAAAGACAAAAAUAAAAAACACGUAGAGAUGCUCCGGGAAUCCAUAAGCUGUAUGCUAUCAGCCAAAAGAAACCACGUCUUUUUCCAAACUAUGGCUUUUACAUCCACUUCUACAUUAAUUACCUUCAAUAAAAUCAUAUAACCAAAUCAACUAUUAAAAUUUGUUUUUUUUUUUCCAAUUUUGGCAAUUGUUUUGAGAUAUCACCGAAAUUAUCCAGAAAAGCACCAAGUGGGAAUCUUUUUCCUUAAAACCAAAUUUGUUUAAUAAACAUUCCUCCGGCGUAAGAAUUUCCGAUGCUGAGUCACGACUCACGAGUCACGACCAGACCCUCCCAGCACGUCAAGAACACAAGGGAUUGGCAAUUCUAUUAAAUUAGGAAUUAGCCCCUUGAGGUUGUUUAAUCAUAAUUUACCCCUGUUCUUUUGCAUCUUAAGUAGAUUGCUUUUCCUGUGUUGUCAUUAGGUAAAUACUUAAUCGUUUACUUGCAUAAAAAAAAAAAAGUUUACUUGCAUGACUGGCCAGGGAAACAAGAAAGCUAUAAAUUAUAAUCCACUAAACAAAAAUCUUGCAUCUAUAUAAAUAAAUAAAUUUAUUGAUGCAUAUUAUUAGCUGUAUUUCUUCAAUUAUCCAAGCCCAAGAAUUAAUAUGAGCAAGGAGAAGAAGGGUAUAAGGCCAGAGGUACCGAAACCAUUUGGAUGAAAUUUAAUUUGGUAACCCAAUCCGUAGUGGAAGGAAUUGUUGAAGAACUUGAGAUGGAAGAAGAAGAAGGAUGGUGGAAGAAACUAAAAUUAUUAAUAAAGACUACUUUGCGUUCGAGAAAAAGGAAAAGGACUAAAUGAGAAAAAAUGUGAGUUGGGCGACUAAAGAUACUUUAGCUAAGGUGUAAUUUUUUUUUAUGCACAGUCAAUAUAUGCACGAGUUGUAUUGGAUUAUGCCACAUAAUUUAAUUUUAAAUUUGAAAUUCAAUUUUUUCAAAAGUAGCAUACAUUUACAACUAUUAGUGUAAAAAAUAUUUACACUGACAGUGUACAAAAACUUAAUUCAUUAUUUGCCAAAUUCUUUUUUUUUUUUGGUAUUCAAAUUAUUUGAUUUGUUGUCAACUGUAUAGAAUUGAUGAAAAUUUGAAACUGUUAGGUCUAAAUAUGUCUUCAGGGAAACUUAAAAGAUGAAAAUGGUUCAAACCCCAAAAAAUAUUUGUUAUUCCCAUUUGACAAAUUUUCAAUUGGUUUGGUGAUUUUCUAUCAAACAUUUUAUAUUAAUUUAAAUUGCAAAAAAGAGGGUGGAAGUUCUGUGGUACCAUAAAUCUGUAAAUCAACCAACUGAUAGGGAAUGAACGUUUCCAUUAAUUGAAUCUAGAAUUGGUCUCCAAAGAUUUUUUUUCCCCCCACAAAACAUACAGAUUUUCCACGAAGUAUCAGGACUUUCAUUGAUGACCUAACUUAUUAUUCAAUAUAUUAACAAAAACCGUUCAAGACAGUUAACCUGACAACUACCCCUGUCCCAAGUCGUCGAUGGACUGGUCCAUACUGAUAAUUCUAAUGAAAAACAAAAUAUAUACAUCACUCGAGAGCAAGUGAUCAACUUUCCGUGAAGACUUUUAUGUAGUCGUCUUUAUCAGCAAUUUCUACUAGCAUUUAAACGAACCGCGCAUCUAGGGUGGGGUAGCUUUAUCAAAUAUCCAGUACCAAAAAACAUCCAAUGGGGCGUCUUCUUGGUAUUUAUUCGUGUUUAUUGCUACUGUUCUUAUUCAAGUCACCAGCCAACUCCCAUUUGGCAGCACUAACCAAGCUUAUCAUUAUUUAGAUCUUUACUGGUAUACUGUACAUGAAAAAAGUUAAAAUUUAUUAACAAAGUCAUUAAUUUUGUUUGAAAAAAUUGGAAGUUUUGAACAAAAAAUAGGAAGUUUCUUUGUGGUGAAAAUAGGAAGUUUCAGAUGGAUGAUGCAAAGCAGGUGGAACCCUCGCUGCAUCGCUCCCCAACUUCACGUCCCCUCCAAUACAAGCCUAUCUUGAUUCACCAAAGCCGCACAAAUAUGUCACACUGAAAGUGGAUGUUUAAUUUGGCCACAUACACUAAGCGUAGCCAGUUCUUAUUAUUUUGGUAAAAUAAAAUAUGUACCAGCGUGAAAGCAGAUAUUCUCCAACCAGAAUCAGACAUUAACAACUAAGCCUUCGGGACCCAUAAAGCUUAUAAGACGCCAUCAAGAAUCCAAGCAUCUUCUGUACCUUCUUUCCACAUUCCCCAUCUCCAUAUAACUCUUGGAUAACGGAUCAUACAUCUUGAAAUAAGAGUGUUUGUAACAUGAAAGACGACAUCACGGUGGAUAAAUAACUUCAUUUCGAACAGGUUAGAGCAGUUGUCCAAAAUGGAGAAAAUGCAUGACAGCGUAGUCUCAAAAUCAUGAAUCUCUAAACAUGCAGUAAUCUCUUUCAACCCCUUCAUCCGAGACCUAAUUUCAUCACCUUCAGGGCAAAUAUACAUCUCGAAAACUGACCAAGCCCGAGGGGUGAAAGUAAGAGAGCUGACAUUCGGGAAAACACUAAACAAGGACUCGAAACCAAACUUAGAUACUCUCAUUAGUUCAGAAGAUUUUGUUAAUGAUAUAGUAAAUUUUACUAAAAAAGUGGUAAGAUUUGUUAAUGAAGUCAUAAGUUUUUCUUGAAAGAUAGUAUGUUUUAUGUUAAAAAAAAUGCCGAGUUUUUGAAAAAAAAAAAAGGUAAUUUUAGCUAGAAAAAAUCCAGUAAGAUUUAAUAUUUAGAUAGCAAGUUACAUAAAUUAUAAAGGUUACUUGUUUUGUGCAAAAACUUACUAUCAGUUGCACCAAAUAUACUAUCACAAUUUUGUCCCCAUUGAAUUGCAAAUUAACUGCAAUCACCUCGAGUAUAUCGUAAUUUAACAAUAAAAUAGUGUAAUAAUCACAUUAGAAAUUAUGUGAUAAAAACUUAUGCAUUUUACCAAGUACUAGUACUUCAUCUAGAAGACAAUAUUCGUUUGAGUUAGAAUAAACCCAAAAAAAAAGGUGAGAGAUGUUCAAAAGUGCAGGAUGAGUAAUGAAUAGAUGGAAAAACUGAUAGUGGGAUAAAGUUAGACAGCACAGAGGUUAGACAACAAGGUAGUAAAAAAAGAAAAAGGCUGAGGAAAUGUUGUGUCAACAUGUCCUUGUAAUUACAAACUUUUGCAAUAUAAUUUAUAUUUUUGUUCACCUGCUGCAAGUCUACAACUCACAAGGAGUAUUAAAUCGAGGAAUAGUUUUGAAAAAGUAUUAAUAUUAUUUUGGAAUUUAACUUGAAAAAGAUAUAUAUAUAUAUAUAUAGUUAGCAUGGAUUCCCAUUUUCUCCAUUUAAACGUGAUAUCAAUCAGUCUACUGACAACCUAGUAAUAUAAUUAUGUCGUUGAAGAUCAGACUCUUGAUGGCUUAUCUAUGUGGCAUAUAAAGGCCAAGUUUUAGUUGACCGAAUUAAAUCCCUACUAAAAAUGCUGGUUUUACUGGAUUUUUCUUUGUUUAAUUUUCACCACAAAUAAAUUUGAGAUGCAGGUUGGAUGACAAGCUAUCAUCAGCUUAAGUCAAAUUUUGAAGCUAAUUCUGUGUCCAUUUAUACUCGUAAACUUUUCAAAGUCUUGUGGUUAACUUCCAUGGAUUAAGAUGAAUUGCAUUAUGCAAUAUUGCAGAGAAUCUCCACCUAAUUGGAGACUUUUCAAUUGUAGACAACUGAUACGUAAUUUUUUCUGUUGGCCAUACAUGGAUUGGUUUUUGGAUAGAAUUUUGAAUUUAACGUCAUUGUCCGAUAGGGUGGCUUGGCGCUAUUCUAAAAUGACCCAAAUAAUUGCUGACAUGAACAGAUCAUAAUUUGGUUGAGGUCCCUACAAUGAGUGAAAGUAUUGGACCACCAAACCUAUUAUUCUAACCCCUUUGAAAUGCCAUAUGUGGACGUCUUGAUCUUGGAGGCUAUACAUUUACGAAUUUUUCUUUGUUUUUCUUGGUUUGAUAUCUGCAUUCUAGGUUGUUGGUCUAUUCAUUUUUUUUAGCUUCUUCUUUUCUAUAAUUUAAAAGCCACUAAAAUAUUUUACUCAUGAAAAACUUUAUGAUGUCACAUUAGUGUCAAAGAAUGCCUUCGUUGAGAAAAAAAUAUAGAUUAGCUCAAAAAAGGUAAAUAAAGGAAUUUUAUACUUACAUGUUCUUUUGGAGAAACGAACAGAUAUCAUACAAAACUUUUUUGAUAAAGUUUCCAAAUCUAUACAAAACUCUUUUUUUUCGGUAACUAUCCAUCAUGCAAUGCAGACUAUUUUUUAAACAUUAAUUUUGUCCUUCAUGCUUCUUUUUUUUUCAAAGCAUUGUCCUUCGAGCUUUAGAUUUUGUUAUUCUCAUGGAAAACUAAUUCACUUGCUUCUUUAAUGUAAACCUAUCAAGUUUAUGAUAUUUGACAAAUUUUCAAUAGGUUUGGUGAUUUUGAGUAAAAAAUUUUUAAAUUGAUUUAGAUUGCAAAAGAGAGGAUCGUAAAUCAAAAAUUCAAUUUCACAACCAAUUGAUAGAGAAUCAAAAUUUUCAUUAAUUCAGUACAAAAUAUGCCUCUAAGGAUUUUGUCUACAAGAAAAUAAGAAUUUUUCGUGGUGGGUCACGACAUUCAUUGACGAGCGGACUUAGACCCAACACAUUGACCAAUUUUCUACCCAACUCGAAACGUUACAUGUGCCCGCCAAAGAUCUUGAUGGCUGUUUAUUUAGGAUUUCUUUGCUUCUUCUAAUUUUAAACGCGCAUUUGAAACUCUUGAUCUAUUUAUUCUUCUUUUAGCCUCAAACCUUUUUAUAGUUUAAGAACCACCAAAAUGUUUUGCUUAUUUAAAAGUUCAUCAAGUCAAAAAAAAAAACCAAAGCAAGGAAGUUCAUCAAGUCCCACGUAUUGUGUUAACACGGUUUUCACCAGAGAACGAGAUAUAAAUUCAUACAAAUAUUGCAAAGAGUUUUCAUGACAUAAAGUUUAAAUCUUUUUUACGUGUGUAAAUCGUCCAGUUUAAUGAAGAACAUUGCUGGAUGAUCUGCUUAGCAAAGAAUGUUCAUCCUACUUUGUAAAUUUUGGUUGGUUUAUUCUCGGAGAUGGACUAAUUCAACCAGCCAUUAAUUAAGUGGUCGUGCCAUUAAUUUUGAUACCAAUUGAUAAAGGAAAACAUCACUCUACAGACUUUCCAUGAAGACUUUCAGUCGUACUUAUUUUAUCUACAAUUUUCUUCAAACAUUUAUUACUUUAUAGAUGACCAAUACCAAAGUAACUUUUGUUAGGUCUGACCCAGAAAAUUGACAAAAUGAUUUUUGACAACCCCAAAAAAGACAAAUAACAAUACGAAAAUAAAUAAAAUAAGAAAACAGGAAUUUACAUAGUUCGAUUAAAUUGAUCGACGUCCACAGACGGAGGAGGAGCAAUAUUUUACUAUGAACAAGAGAGUAUAAAAAUGUUGACAGGAUGUCAAACCUGUGCAAUAAUAAAUACCUGCUCAAACAAAAUAUAAUUUCUGUAGAUAGUGAUAAGCAGGGUCGAAUCCACAGGAAUUAGGGAUAAUUUAUUUCUUUUAGAGUCCGAAGUAUGGGGGGUUUUUGGAGAAUAUAAAAUAACUAAUUAACUAACUAAUAAAACAACUAAUAGAUAUAAAUAGAAAUUAAUCAAUAACUAAUAUGACUCUAACCAAAGGUACAACUUUUCAGACACAGUCCAUGCAACUGAUCAUCGAUGCAAGAAUAAUUCAAUUACUCAUUAAUAGAUUGGUUAUAGUUGUCAUACACGCGAUGAACAACCAGUCUUUCCUUAAUUUCUCGAUAGUUAAGGUACGACCGUUAACUAUUUCCCUAACCAAGAAAUAACCCUAAGUACGACCAUAGGAUUUAAUUACCCGAUUGCACUAAUAAUUAGAAAAACCCAAUCCUAACCAACAAACGCGCUACGAGGGUUUGUUUAAGUUAGAUCAUACGUUUCCCUAACAUGAAACCAAUCACGCUAGUUGCCACUGGUAUUAACCAAUUGAACAAUUACGGAUUCAAUCAAUUAAUUUGGCAUUAGAUUAUUAAGUUAAUUCGAAUAUCGGGCCCUUGACAUUCAAAUAACAUAACAAGCAUAAGCAAUUAAAUCAGGAAACACACAAAUACCAAUAAAUAAAAUAAUUAGAUCUCACAGAUGUUCGAAACCGAGUUCUCAAAUUGACCUUCGACUAGGAAAACUUAGUCACGCCUCAUAAGAAAAUCUCCAAGCAAUUUAACUGAGGCCCUGGCCAUCAAAGGAACCAAGAAAGAAUAAAACUAAACUAUGCUAAAAAACUCUCCGUAGCCUUUCUUCCGGUUGUCCUUAUAUAGCCAAAAGGAAAUGACUAAAGCUAUCUAUCCAGUGGUCCCCACGAAUAAGGAACAAAAACAACUCUUUGCACGUUUGUUUCCUUUCAAUUCAAAUGACUAAUGCCUUUCUUCUCUCCGUGGUCCCCGCACAAAUUGAGAAAGGAGUGUACAUAAAGUGAAGUUCUCUGAAGUCCUUCUUUCUUUAGUUUCCUCUUGAUAGUCAAACACUUCAACACUCCAAGAUACUCCUAAUCCGCAAAAAAGAAAUGCAGUCCGCGUAUAUCACCAUGUGGGCCAGGUCUGUGGCUUAUUUGAAGUCUCAAUUAUCUUCAGAAAGUCCUUCCUUUUUUGUAGUUUUCUGCUUCACUCCCUGAAAUUGGGUCCAAUACCAAAUAUAAGUAAAUAUUAAUAAUUAAAACAAUAUUUGGCAAGAAUAAAAGGGGAAAUUAACAAUAAAAUUACUAACAAUUAACACCCUAUCAAUUCCCCCCACACCUAAAUCAUGCUUGCCCUCAAGCAUAAGAACAACACUUGAACACCAAAAUUUGACAAUGGCUAUUGCUCCAACUAUCAUAUUGCCAAAAUACCCAGAAAAACAUGUAUCACGCAUCACAAUUAAGAUCCAAGAAAGACCACUCCGGUUAGCUUCCCAACCACCAACUCCUCCAAUUUAAAGCAAACUAAUCUAAGAAAAAGGAAUGGUUGCUCACAUUUAUCAGUAAAUGGUCCAGCUAUUAACCAAAAUCUCGACAUUAAGAUCACAAACCGGCAAGCUGACUUAUUCACAUACUAGCACAAUCCUUUUUUUGUUCUUUUUUUUUUUAAUAACAAAAGACUUAGUCUAUAGCCCUUAGAGCCUUUUGACGCGAACUCCAACAUUUGCCAGAUGGAGGAGCCCGGUUACUCAGCUCCAAUUGCUACGAGACCACGCACUCAUAGCAACUACUACCUUUUGACACGAAAAUCAACACUUCAGGUGAAGAUCCCCGGUUACUCAGUAGUAACCACUAGCGGAGUACAGUCACUCUUAUUUGCAACCAUGUAGCACGAUAUCUAAAAGCAACACAAGAAUAACAGCAGCCAGCCUCAAAUUUCCAGACAUGGAGAACUAAAAUUAAUAACUGGACCAAUUCACAUGAAAAAUGCCAACAAUCAUUCCCUAUGCCUAGAAAAAUUAACCAAAAAUUGAAAAAGUUAAGCAAUUAUUGAUAUUCACCAAAGAGAUGUUCCUGAACUCAGCCACAUCAACUUGAUACCUUUUUAUUAAUAAAUUUGGCAAUAGCAGAAUUAGAGACAACAAUCCAGCAUCAAACUUGGUAUUCAUAUGAAGACUGACCACUAGAAAAAGAAAAGAAAAGAAAAUAAACGAAAAAGGAGAUAAAUAUCAAACUAAAACAAAGGAAAAACCUCUAGAACCUAAAAACUAAAAAUACUAGCACCCAAACUGACCCCCCCACACCUAAGUCACACAUUGCCCUCAAUGUGAUAAUGUAAAAAGCAGAAGAAAAGAGAGGGGCAACGGUACUUCCCUGAAGUCAUCAAAACAGGGGCGGUUCAGGUGGAAAUUGAGGAUCAAGGCCUGCAUGGGGCAUAAAUGCUGCCAAAUUCUGCGCAUGUGAUGCAGGUUGACGUCAAUGUGGGUCAUCCGAGUCGCUAGUCGCUCAACUCGCAUCUGGAGCCGGUGCCAUUCGUCAGCCCCUGGGGUAGGAGGAGGCUGCGAGUGUCUAGGUGUCCUAAACCUAGAAGCGGAUCUUGGCCUUACCAUGAUCUCUAGAUGUCACUCUAAUCACAAGGGACUACAAUUGCCAACAGAUAAUGGAAACAGGAAUUUCAAAGUAAUAACAAUUUUUUGUUUAAAACCAACCCAAUGAACAAUAGGCACAAUUCAAUCACCCACAGGUUAUACGAAUACCUCAACACUAAUAACAAAUGCAAUCAAUGAGCCCCUGUGGUCCAAAUGUAGUCAAAUUCAGAAUCAAGGCAGUCCAAUCAUGCAACAAGUGCUCCAAAUAGCUUAGUAAAGGAAACCAAAAGGAUAAAAUGCUCCUAAACAAGGCAAUCAGAGGCAACUAACUUCAAUAAGCAAAUUUCAGCGUUAUAGGCACCUCCCAAUUUAACAAGCAAAUUACCCACAAUUAGACACAAAUCACAGCAAAAUAGACACAAUUGGUCCCAAAAUGGUAACAACUGCCUCCAAUUGGACAGUCAAUUCCCCAAUUCAACCUGCCAAAAUCAGCAAUUGACCCAAGAAAAUGAUGGUAACUCCAGCAACAGUUCGGAGAUCUAGCAGGAGCAACACUUUAAGCACAAAAGCCCAAUAGUCAAUGGUGCACAACAAAAAUGGAAUCAGAGCAAAAUUAAAUCAGCCACAAGAACCUCUUAGAAAUUGCAACCGAUGGUGCACAGAAACAGCAACUAAAUGCCCAACCCAAAAUCGCAACAAUCGCCCAACAAAAGCAGCAAACCCCCAAAGUCAACCCCCGAUAACUUCCAAAUAAAAUAGCUAUCAGAGGGUCUAGAAAAUAUCAAUCUCAAGGGCUAAAAGAAGUCCCAAAUGAAUGAAUUGGGAUAGUAACUACGGCCAUGAAUCAGCAAUCAAUGCACUAAAUAUUAUAGUUGUUGGACUGAACAAAUAAAUGCACAACUCUGCCAACUACAAUUCAGCAGAGGCCCGAAUAAUUUAGCAACUUAAAUCAACAGUCAUAGGGCAUCAAGAAUUCAGUAAAAUAAUUUAACAGGGAGCCGAAAACCAAAGUUCAACAUAGAACCCAAAGCCUGUGUCCAAUUCACUCUAGAGAUCUAUUCCAGAAAUAGUACCCCAAAUAUAAGUAAUUUACCGUAGAAAAUUAGCCAAUAAAUUGGGAAAAACAAGUACCUCUGCUGCAUGCCAGAGACACCAAGCAGAUGGCCAUGGGUGGUGGAGCAGUGGAGCAGCGGUGGAGCGCACAGAGUCGCUAUAGUGGAGGAGCUGGGGGCUGCGAGGAGGAGCUAUUGGCCGUGAUCUGGUGUGAAGUGGAGAAAGAGUAGAGGGAGGUGGUGGCGGUGAGCUGGGGUGAAGCUUGCGAUGGUGGUAGGACGCUAGGUGAGAAGAGUGCGACCGUGGUCUGUAGGUGAAGUGGAGCUGAGGUGGAGCUGGAGAGGGAGGGGCGUGUGCGGUGGAGCUCGCGAAGCAGGGCGACGGCCUGGAGGCGCGGUAGAGGAGCUUGGCCGCGAGCUGGUAGCGGGUGGGAGAAGCGGAGCAGCGGCGGUUGGCGGCGGGCUGGCGCGCGGUAGAGCUGCGAGGUGGUGGUCGUGCUGGGAAGCUGGGUUCGGCGGCGGCAAUGGAGGAAGAAACGAAGGAAAAGGGGAAAAAGGGAAAGCAGCGGGGGCAGAAGGAAGAAAGAAAGAAAAGGAAAAAAAGAAAGAAAGAAGAAAGAAGAAAAGAGAAAGAAAGGAGAAAAAGAAAAGAAAAAAUAGUUUUUGUGGAUUUUUGUUGUUUUUUUUUUCUUCUUUUUUUUCAGUUUUUUUUUUCCUUUUUGAAUUCAAAUUUCGAAAAUUGUAAUUGCUAAAAUACUUUAUUUCCUUUUUGUUUUUUUUAGAAAUAAUAAUAAUAAUAAAUAAAUAAAUAAUAAAUUUUUUUUCUUAACUUUUGGGUCGUCAAAUAUGGCAUGGGCACGCCAAGAUUGGUAAAUGUCCACUGACCUCAGGAGUUAUAAACACCGCGUGGGCACGCCAAGAUUGCUGUCCUGACCACAGUGGAGGAAAACAUUAAAACCGACCACAACCUAAAUAAGAAACGACAUAAUUAAAGAAUUUAACAACGAAAAACAAUAAAAUCAAUAUUUGGGUUGCCUCCCAAAAAGCGCCUUUCUUUAACGUCUUUGGCUAGACAUUAUCAUGUUUGCUCAGGGAGGAUAAAAUCUUGUGACUCGUUUCAGUACUUCAUCCUCUAUAUAGUUCUGAUAGCCCUCGUAAAUAAAGUAAUCCUUGAACACACGAGCUACGGUCUUCCAUGGACUAGUUGAUGGCGCCAAAUAAUCAAGCAGUGAUAUCAAUUCUUCAUCCACUCCUCCAUCAAGAGCACUCAACGGUUCAAGAUAUUUGACCAUAGCUACUCUUAACUUAUUUCUGCUAUGAGACUCAAAAACUUCCGGUAUAACAAAAUCAAUCUCAUUAACAGAAAUCAUAGAGUAAGAGUUAAGAAAAUACGGGUUAGGGAAUGGAGGUGGUGUCACCACAUUUGAUGAUUCUUUACUGGAUUCUUUCACUUGAAUGGGUUGCGGUUGGGGUUCCAUUUCUUCCUUUUCGGCUUCUUUUUCAACUGCAUCUGUAGAUCUCUCAUUUUGACACUCUUGCAUCUCCUCAUCACUAGUCAAGUAAAUUGCACUCUCAUUUUCUUCAAAAUCAACAAUGGUUUUCGAGGAAAUUCUUCAAUUUGAGAAGCCAAUCGAUUUAUUCUGGAUGUCAAUAGACAUAUUUGAUCUGCCAGAUUACUCAUUGCAUCCUUCAUCAUCCCAUUUCUCAUUUGUGUCUUCUAUUGGAAUUGAUAUGUAUUAGUAGCUAUUGAUUCAACUAUUUCUUCAAGAGACAUACCUGACAUAGAUGAUGAUUCUUGAGACUCAUACUGCUGAAAAUUCAUUGGCCCUGUUGUAUAAUUAUAACUGGAGUUAUCCCACCAUCCUUGAUCAUACCCGUUUGGAUUAGGGUUAUACCACGUUUGAGACCAGGGUGAAAAAUCUCCAUAAUUAUUGAGUGGGACACUCAGAUUAUCUUGAUAUUCGGGGCACAUACCGGUUGAAUUAUCCCUGGCAUAACAAAUUUUACAGGUUGCAGCAGCCAUUCUUUCUCUAAUAGAGUUUAGUGCCUCAGAAUAAGCAAACUUAGCAAAAAAAGAAGCCUCAUUGCCUUCCCUGGAAACAAAAUUCAGUCUAUCACCAAAAUACGGAGUGUUAGAAGCCAUAAACUAUAAAAAAAAAUAAGAGAAAAAUAAAUAAAUAAAAUAAAAAAAAGAUGAACUAAAAAAGAAACAAAUUAAUCGGGCACCAGUCCCCGGCAACGGCGCCAAAAAUUAACAGGGUGUCGAACCUGUGCAAUAAUAAAUAUCUGCUCAAACAAAAUAUAAUUUCUGUAGAUAGUGAUAAGUAGGGUCGAAUACACAGGGAUUGAGGAUAAUUUAUUUCUUUUAGAGUCCGAAGUAUGGGGGGUUUUUGGAGAAUAUAAAAUAACUAAUUAACUAACUAAUAAAACAACUAAUAGAAAUAAAUAGAAAUUAAUCAAUAACCAAUAUGACUCUAGCCAAAGGUACAACUUUUCAGACACGGUCCAUGCAACUGAUCAUCGAUGCAAGAUUAAUUCAAUUACUCAUUAAUAGAUUGGUUAUAGUUGUCAUACACGCGAUGAACAACUAAUCUUUCCUUAAUUUCUCGAUAGUUAAGGUACGACCGUUAACUAUUUCCCUAACUAAGAAAUAACCCUAGGUACGACCAUAGAAUUUAAUUACCCGAUUGCACUAAUAAUUAGAAAAACCCAAUCCUAACCAACAAACGCGCUACGAGGGUUUGUUUAAGUUAGAUCAUACGUUUCCCUAACAUGAAAUCAAUCACGCUAGUUGCCACUGGUAUUAAUCAAUUGAACAAUUAUGGAUUCAAUCAAUUAAUUUGGCAUUAGAUUAUUAAGUUAAUUCGAAUAUCGGGCCCUUGACAUUCAAAUAACAUAACAAGCAUAAGCAAUUAAAUCAGGAAACGCACAAAUACCAAUAAAUAAAAGCAAUAAAUAAAAUAAUUAGAUCUCACAGAUGUUCGAAACCGAGUCCUCAAAUUGACCUUCGACUAGGAAAACUUAGCCACGCCUCAUGAGAAAAUCUCCAAGUAAUUUAACUGAGGUCAUGGCCAUCAAAGGAACCAAGAAAGAAUAAAACUAAACUAUGCUAAAAAACUCUCCGUAGCCUUUCUUCCGGUUGUCCUUAUAUAGCCAAAAGGAAAUGACUAAAGCUAUCUAUCCAGUGGUCCCCACGAAUAAGGAACAAAAACAACUCUUUGCACGUUUGUUUCCUUUCAAUUCAAAUGACUAAUGCCUUUCUUCUCUCCGUGGUCCCCGCACAAAUUGAGAAAGGAGUGUACAUAAAGUGAAGUUCUCUGAAGUCCUUCUUUCUUUAGUUUCCUCUUGAUAGUCAAACACUUCAACACUCCAAGAUACUCCUAAUCCGCAAAAAAGAAAUGCAGUCCGCGUAUAUCACCAUGUGGGCCAGGUCUGUGGCUUAUUUGAAGUCUCAAUUAUCUUCAGAAAGUCCUUCCUUUUUUGUAGUUUUCUGCUUCACUCCCUGAAAUUGGGUCCAAUACCAAAUAUAAGUAAAUAUUAAUAAUUAAAACAAUAUUUGGCAAGAAUAAAAGGGGAAAUUAACAAUAAAAUUACUAACAAUUAACACCCUAUCAAAUGUCUUAGAAAAGUGUUUCUAAAUCCAAAACACCUAAUACUUAAAAUACAAGGGAACCCAAAAUAUUUUACUAAACAAAAGAUUUAAUGAUUCAAGGACCCAAAUAGCCCACUAAAACUCUCUUGAUUUUGUGCACUAAAUCCCAUCACAAGCCCACUAUAUUUAUAGGCAAUUAAGGGAAAGACUCCUUUAUAUAAAAAACGAUGUGGAACAAAGCCAGUUUAACAAAUCUCCACCGUAGCAUGUCCCCAACAUCGACAAUAGCAAAUCUGCUCCACCACAUAAACUCCAAUGGGCCUAAAUCACCAACAAUGAAUACCAGCUAAGUCCAAGCAUUGCUUGAACUUGUAAACUGGAAGAGGUUUCAUGAAUAUGUUAACAGGAUUCUCCUUGAUACUAAUUUUCUAAACAAGAACUUUUCCUUCAACAAUAAUAUUUUGAAUCAAACAAAAUUUUACAUCAAUGUGUUUCGUCCUCUCUUGAUACAUCUAGUUUUUAGUCAAAUGAAUGGCACUUUGACUAUUGACAGGUGUCGAACCUGCGCAAUAAUAAAAACUUACUCAAACUAAAGGUAAUUUCUAUAGAUAGUGAUAAGCAGAGUCGAAUCUACAGGGAUUGGGGAUAUUUGUCUCCUUUGAAAUUCACAAUAACAAGGGGAGUGUUUUUGUAUAAAAGAUGGCAGUAAUUAAACAGUUCGAAUAAAAUUAAAUAGCUAACUAAAAAUUAAAUGACAAAUUACUAAAACCAAAUUAACAAUAGCUAAGCACUAGUCAAGAAAUAACUUCAGUAAUGGUUCAACUAAUUGAUCAUUGAUGCAAAUAUAAUUUCAAUUAUUAAUUGGUAAAUAAGUUAUAACUGCCAAACAAACGAUGACAGUCAACUCCUCCUUACUGUUUCGAUGACUGAGAUACGCCCGUCAAUCACUACUCUAAUCGGGAAAUAACCUUAGGUACGCCGGUAAGAUUUAAUUCCCCAAUUGCCUUACGUAUUAGAGGAGCCCUAUUCUAACCAAAUAACACACUACCAGGGUUAUUUUAGAUUAGCCUGCCUAUUCUCUUGACACAAAUCUAAUCAUGCCAGUUGUCACUAUUUUAGAGCAAUUAAAUAAUUACGGAUUUAACGCUCUAAUUGAUAUCAGGUUGCUAAAUUAAUUCAAUGUCCGGGCCCAGGAUAUUUAAUUAACAAAACAACCAUAAGCAUUACAAACAGAAAAUAUGCAAAUACCAGUAAAUAAAAGGAAUAAAUAAAAUUAAUUCGAUCUCACAAUUGUUAGAUGAACCAAAGCCUCCGUUGUUUCUCGACUAAAAGAAGGGAUUUAGUUCAUCCCUAAUGAGGAAAACCCAUGCGAACAUUCAGAAGUAAUUGCGGGCAUGGUCUCUGAUUUAGAGAACUCAAUUCAUUCGAAUCAUGAAAUGAAAAGCUAAACUAUAAAAGUAAUUGCUUGGUUCUGAUUGUCCCUGACAUCCGCAGGGAGCAACUACUAAAAGACGGAAACGGAAAAGUCAAAACGAAAAGCUAAUCUAAAGGUUGUCCCCUAUUGUCUGCUAUAUUUUCCUAUAUAAUGCUACUGUGCGGCGUCCGCUAGCUCCCGAAGAAGACUCCUGCCCUUCUUUGAAUGCUGUCUUCGGCCAAAUUACCAAAAUGGGGUUGCGUCUCUUUGUUCCAAAAAUGCCUGCUAUUUGAACUCUUUCCUGAUGGUUGCCAAAUUGGCACUUGUUAUAGUAUUUUCGAUCUAUUCCCUGAAAUAAAUACAAAUUGUCAAAAGUGAGUAGAAUCUAAUAAUUAAUCCACAUCGGGUCAGGUAAUAUGGGAAAUUAAUAAGAAAAUAAAUGAUAAAAUCACAACUUAUCAACUAUCACAGUAAAUAGUAGUAACACCUUGAUAUAAAUGAAGUUUGUCAAACAAACUCUUCAACCACAAGACUUCUUUAAUUGUCUCGGUCAUAACCAUAUAUUCUGCAUCCGUAGUAGAUAAAGUUAUAAUAGGUUGUAAAGUAACUUUCCAAUUAACUGCACAACCGUCAAUACAAAAUACGUAACCUGAAAGUGAUUUUUUUUUUAAUCAAGAUCCUCGACAUAGUCAGAGUCUACAAAACCAACCAAAGCGUUAUUAUUUCUCCCAAAUUCCAAACAACGGUUUGAAAUCCCUUGCAAGUAUUUGAGAAUCCACUUCAAAGUUUGCCAAUGUAUUUUUUCAGGACAAGACAUAUAUCUGCUAACCACACUGACUGCUUGUGCAAUAUCUGAACAAGUAUAAACCAUUGCAUACAUAAUGCUAUCGACUGCACUGGAAUAAGGAACCCAUGCCAUAUAUUCUUUUUCUUCAACUGACAUUGACGAUUGAGCAGCAGAUAGUCGAAAAUGACUAGCAAGAGGAAUAAUCACAGGUUUAGCAUCUUUCAUGCCAAACUUUUCCAAGACUUUUUCAAGGUAAUUUUCUCGGGUCAAGAAUAACUUUCCAACUUCUCGAUCUCUCUUGAUCUCCAUGCCAAGAAUUUUCUUAACUGUUCCCAAAUGUUUUAAUUCAAAUUCACUACUUAACUGCAACUUCAAAGUGUGAAUUUCUGAUAAAUUCUUGACAUCAAUAAGCAUGUUAUUAACAUAAAGCAGCAAAUAAAUGAAAGAACUAUCAUCUAACUUUCAAAAGUAAACACAACUAUCAUACAUGCUCCUUGAAUGACUGUGAUCCAACAUAAAAGUGUCAAAUCUCUUAUAUCACUAUCUUGGAGGCUGUUUCAUUCCAUAUAAAGAUUUCUUUAGCAAAUAAACAUGGUCUUCCUUUUCUUCAAUUUCAAAUCUUUGAGAUUGUUUCAUAUAAAUUUUCUCUUCAAGUUUACCAUGCAAGAAAGCUGUUUUAACAUCAAACUGCUCCAAUAGUAAAUCAUACAUGACAACUAAAACAAGUAAAGUAUAAAUUGAGUUAUGCUUAACAACAGGUGAAAAUACUUCAUUAAAAUCAACACAUUGUACCUGACUAUAACCCUUUGCAACCAAUCAUGCUUUAUACCUUGCAUCUUCGACCCAUGCGAUACCUUCUUUCUUCUUGAAGACCCAUUUGCAUUCAAUAAUUUAAAAGCAAUGAAAAUGUUUUACUUAUGAAAAACUUUAUAAUGCCACAUUAAUGUCAAAGAGUGUCUUCCUAGGAGAAAGAAAUAUAGAUUAGCUAAAAGAAGACCAAAAAAAAAAAGGGAGUUCUAUGCUUACAUGCCCUUCAGGAGAAACUAAUAGAGGUCAUCCUAUUAAGUUGUUUGUCGCACUAUAUAUAAUUCACUUUAGGUAUAAAUGUUUUUUGAGUGCUCAGACCUCUUAUUCAACAAUAUAAACUUUUGAAAGAUCAAAUUUUGAUAAUGAACAAUUACAUUAAAAGAAAAUUUCAAAAUCUAUACAAAACUUUUUUGACAAAUGUGCACCAUUUUUUUGUAACUAUCCAACACGAAAUGCAAACUACUGUUCUUCGUGCUUUAGAUUUUGUUGUUCUCAUCUCAUGGAAACCUUAUUUGCUUGCUUCUUGAACAUAGACGUAUCAAAUUUAGGAUAUGUGACAAAUUUUCAAUAGGUUUGGUGAUUUUAAGUCAAACAUUUUAAACUAAUUUAGAUUGCAAACGUGAGGGUCGUAAAUCAGAAAAUCAAUUACACAACCAACUAAUAGAGAAUCAAAAUUUCCAUUAAGUCAGUAGAAAAUAUGCCUCUAAGGAUUUUGUCCACAAGAAAAUAAAAAUUUUCCACGGUGGGUCACGACUUCUGUUGACGAGUGGACUUAGACCCAACACAUCCGCCAAUUUUCUACCCAACUUGGAACAUUAUAUGCUGCCUGUCAAGAUCUUGAAUGUUCUUUAUUUAGGAUUUCUUUGCUUCUUAUAAUUAUAGAUGCGCAUAUGAAAUUCUUGAUCUAUUUAUUCUCCUUUUAGCUUCAACCUUUUUAUAGUUUAAAAGCCACCAAAAUGUUUUGCUUAUUAAAAUGUUCAUCAAGUCCAAAAAAAAAAAGAAUGAAAGUUUAUCAAGUCUUAUGUAAUGCAUUAGGUUUAAAUUUAAUUUCAUUUAAAUCAAAAAAGCGAAGGAUUUAGGCUUGUCAGUGGGCCAUCUGAAGUGAGGUUUAACAAACAUAGAUUUGGCUUAUAUAGUUAGUACCACUUUUGGAUUUCGAAUUAUGAGAUUUGAAGUGAUAAAUAUGAAACUCAUACUUGACUCACAAAAUAUCCAGAUUAUAAGUUUAAUUCUGAUUUAGCUCAAGUUCACUUAUAACUCCUUAAUUUUCUUACUAUAAUUACUAUAAUUAUUAAGUUUUAAACUAAUUUAAUAUCCACAGAACCACAAUGUUAAAACUUUUCAAAGGAACUCAAUUUGCUCAUACCAAGAUUUGUCCUUCUAAUUCUUUUUACAUAAUUUUAUAUAUUUAAUAUUCCUAUAUAUAUAUAUAUAUAUAUAUAUAUAUAUAUAUAUAUAUAUAUAUAUAUAUACUAGUAAGGGUUGGCUAUGCUAUGCAUAGCCAGUGCCCACCUUGAAGCGUUCAAGGUUAGCAAAAUUUGAUGGAAUGUUUGUCAGUAGAGUGUCAUGUGUGAAAGUACACGUAAAGUAUGUAUAUUACUGAAAUGGAGAGAAAUUGGGUUAUCAAUAUUUAAAUUUGAACAAAUGAACUUUGUCAUUUUUUUGUGAAUUUUCUUUGAGUCAUUAAUACAUUAAUAUUUAGUUAAAAUAUGAGUCAUUAAUGCUAUCUGAAAUUACCACCAAGUAUAGCAUGCAAAUUUGAUGAGACAAAUAUGUCUUUAUUACAUUUCAUUAAGAUGCUUUCUUUCCCUCUUUUAAUGAUAGCUUUCAAAUAUACAUUUUUUUUGUCAUUGUCACGGAUUUAUAAUUCUCUACAUUUUUCAUUUAACAAAUUUAAUUCAGUGUACAAAUUAAUAAUAUACUUAUAUACUUUUUGGUUUUAAAAUUAUAUGUAUAAUUUGUUCAGCAACUAUACGCAGAGAAAUUGAAAAAUAGUAGGAUUAUUAAUGGUUAGCAUUUUUGCAGAAGUUUUUUGUGUUUGAUAGAGGGACAUCUAUAUAUGAAUUGGAUUUAUAGCUUAUUAGUAAAUUUGCUUUUCAAGGCAAAAAAGAUUAAAUUGAAGUACAUUAACAUAAAGGAUAGAGAAAUACAAGAUAACAUAAUUAAAACAUAUGUAGGUAGCAAGUCAAAGCAACCAAGUCGAAGUACAUUAACACCAACAAUAAAUAGAUACAAGAUAAUUAAAUUAAAACACAAGUAGUUCAAUUCUGAGGCACAUAAGCAUUAUAUUGUUGGAAACUAAUUUUAUGCAUAAUCAUUGUGAAGGUUCAUUUAAGUCUGUUGGCCAGCUGGGACUUGUUCAGCUUCAUAACUUGUGACAAUCUUAAAAGUUGUUCCAUUGAUUGCUUUUUCUCUUGGAGUUGCUUUCUUAACAAAGCACAUGAAUCUCUUUCCUUGGAAUAUAUUAAGUGGCAAUAUGUUAGUUCAAUUGUAUAACUUUAAAUGACAAUAAAAACAUGAAUAAACAUAAAGUCAAAUGUUACUAAAUAUUUGAACAUGAACAAAUGAAAAUAAAAUUGAUACAGAAAAAUGUACAUUGCAUUAAGCAAAAAUAAUAAUCUUGUUCUUUAUAAUAGGAUAGAAUAAAUUUUAGAUAAUCUUUUGCUUUACAUUAACUUUAAAUCAUAACUUAUUUUGACAAAUAUAAUUUUAAAUGAAAAUUCGAAUAGAAAUAAUUAAAUCUCAAGUUAAUUUGUCAAAUAUAAGUUGAAAUGUUAAUGUAAAUAGUAAUAAAUAUAAAUUCUUAUUGAAUUAUAUAUGUUUAAAAUAUAGAGAUUGAAAAGCCUACUCAAAAGAAUUCAACCUUAUAAAGAAAUGGUAAAUGCAAUUGAAUUUGGAUCAUUGAACACAUUUAAAGCAAUGCAAGUCCAUAGAGAAUGCAAAAGAGAAAGCUCAAAAUUCAAAUAAUAAAAAUAUGAAUAAACAUAAAGUCAAAUGUUACUAAAUAUUUGAACAUGAAAAAAUGAAAAUAAAAUUGACACAGAAAAAUGUACAUUGCUUUGAGUAGAAAUAAUAAUUGUAUUCCUUAUUAUAGGAUAGAAUAAAUUUUAAAUAAUCUUUUGCUUUACAUUAACUUUAAAUGAUAACUUAUUUUGACAAAUCUAAAUUUAAAUGUAAGGUUGAAAACUCGAAUAGAAAUAAUUAAAUCUUAAGUUAAUUUAUCAAAUAUAAGUUGAAAUGUUAAUGUAAAUAGAAAUAAAUAUAAAUUCUAAUUGAAUUAUAUCUGUUCAAAAUAUAGUGAUUGAAAAGUCUACUAAAAAUAAUGGGUUAAUUACAUUUACCUCCCCUGAGGUUUGACCAUAUUACCAAUCAAUCCCUGUAAUUUGUCCAAAUAACGGUCUCACCCUUUGAAUGAUCAAACAUUUAACAAAAACCCCCUUAAUGCCGAAAAUGCCCUUUUUUAGGCCAUAUUGCAUUAAAAAAAGAACAUAUUUUUAUUUAUUAACCUUCAAGUAAUCCAAAAAAAUAGAAAAAAGUUUUUGCUUAUUAUUUUAUAAAAAUCAUAUCUUUGCUUCCAUAAAUAGUUUUGAAUCAAUAAUUAUUUUAAAUCUUAAAAAUGAAUAUUAAAAAUUAAAUAAAUUGAAAGAAAAAUAAAAAAGAAACAAUUAUUUUAAAUACUCAAGUAUGGUUCGAAUUUGUGGUUCAAGGCAUGUUGCGGAGAGCACAAGGCAUGUUUUCCUCAAUUUGAACCAUACUUCAGGAAUUAAAAUAAUUUCUUCUUUUUUUAUUUUUCUUUCAAUUUAUCUAAUUUUUAAUAUUCAUUUUUAAGAUUUAAAAUAAUUAUUGAUUCAAAACUAUUUAUGGAAGCAAAGAUAUGGUUUUUAUAAAAUAAUAAGCAAAAACUUUUUUCUAUUUUUUUGGAUUGCUUCAGGGUUAAUAAAAUAAAAAUAUGUUCUUUUUUUAAUGCAACAUGGCCUCAAUAAGGGCAUUUUCGGCAUUAAGGGGGUUUUUGUUAAAUGUUUGAUCAUUCAAAGGGUGAGACCGUUAUUUGGACAAAUUACAGGGAUUGAUUGGUAAUAUGGUCAAACUUCAGGGGAGGUAAAUGUAAUUAACCCAAAAAUAAUUCAACCUUAUAAAGAAAUGAAAAAUGCAAUCUAUUUUGGGUCAUUGAGCACAUUUAAAGCACUGCCAAAUCCAUAAAGAAAGCAAAAGAGAAAGCUCAAAAUUCACACAAAGUGCCACGUGUCAGCAAAGGGGACUGCUACAGUAACUAUAGCCUUUUGUUUAUCUUAUAGUAAGAUAUUUUGACAAAUAACUCAUAAGCAUUAGAAUUAUAUAUUUAGAUAGAUAUAUAUAUAUAUAUCAAAAUAUGAAUAUAUUAUAUAUAAUUAUAUAUAUAGCUACAUAUCAAAGGGUGGAGCCUAUAUCGAGUUUGAUCCAAAUAAGAUCCAAACUCUACUAACAUUUAAUUCGGGACUAAUAUUUAGAUCCAAUUUUAACCCAACUCAAUGAACGGUUAGACUCAUUAGACUUUUUCUCAGAGUUGAAUUUAAAUUGACUCGACCCCAUUGACAAUCCUAAAAGGAUUGCCUCAGAUUUUUGUGCUAAUUCAUUUCCCUCUCAACAUGAGUAAGAAAGGGAAUUUGGAGAUAAGAUGAUUAGAGUGGGGGCUUGCUUGGUUGGAUAGAUUAAUUUGGUAAUUUUGAAUGUGUUUGGAUUGUAAAUUAUUUGAAAUAUUUUUGCUGUAGCACUUUUUGUGAUGUGGUGUAUGUGAGAUAAAAAUGUAAUUGGAAAGAUAAAAAGGUGUAUUGGAAAUUGUAAUAAUGAUGUAAGCAAAUAACUUUUGGCAAAUAAUUUAUUAGAUAUUAGGAAUAUGUGAAUUUGCCAAAACUUCUAUGUCUUUAAGAAUUUUAAAUCUUUCUAUUACUACUUCUCAAAAAUUUCCAAAAAGAGAAACACAAAUUUGAUUCUCAAUGUUUGACCUAUAUACCAAAUUGUUUUUUAAUGUAUCAACCAAAACAAAUCUGGUCUCUAAGUUUUUUGACUUUAACUUUACAUUUUUAGUCCCUAAUGUUUGAAGUUUCAAUCAAUAUGGUCUCUUAAGUUUCUAGUUAUAGUUAAGGGUUUUAAAAUGAAAAAAAAAGGAUGUGAAUUGAAUUAAAUAUAUGACAAAUGUCAUCCUAAAUUCAUAUAAAAUUUCAAAAAAAACACUUUAUAUCAACAUAAUAACAUCGUUGAACUUAAAGAUUUUUUUUUGAAUAAGUUACAAUCAAAUGACAAUAUAUACAUAAUAUAUAAAAUUAAAAAAAGGAAAAUUCUAGUAUUAAUAUAAAAUUUAUUAUCAUUCAUGCUAGUUCUUGCAUGGCUUGUGCAUAUAGGCCUUAAAUUGUUAUAGUUAGAAAUUGUUAUAAAAACUAGCAAACAUAAAUACUAAUAUGAAGUGUUUUACUCAUUAUGGGUUAAUUAUCAAUUAAUUACUAAUAGAAUAAAACAAUAAUUACAUAUUCAAUACCGAAUUUGAGACCAAUUAUACCAAAGGGAAGAAGUAUACGAGACAUUAGUGGCAUGAAUAAAUGAAGUAAAAAAUAAAAAGUUUAAUUAUAAUUGCUCGUACCCAUUUAAGACAAUUGUGUUGUAAUUCGCAUCUUAUUUUAUUCUAAUACCCUCAAUACCACUAUGGAAAACUUAAGCAACUAAAAUGAUUAAAAUUUCAAACAUUAUGGUCUAAAAGUACAAAAUCAAAAUUGUUAAGUAACAGCAAUCAAAUUUUGACCGUUAGUCAUUGUUGAGUUUUCAUCAUUGUUGCAUGUACCUACUACCAAAAACUUUGAGAACCAAAUUUAUUUUGGUCAGAACAUUAGAGACUAAUUUAGCACAUAUGCUAAAAAUUGGAGGCUAAAACUACAAUUCUCCGUUUUUCCAAAAGAAAAAUCUGCACCUUUUUUUUUGUUUUAUUUUUGUGCACACAUGUAAUUUUUUUCACCUUUGAUAUCACACAACGAUCCAAACUGAUUGACAUUAGUUAAUAGAUCCAAUUGUUAAAAUGACUUUGUGAAUUGUGAGGGUGGUAAUAUGUAGAAAAAAUUCUGUUUGGUAGAAUUUGGGUAAAAGGAGGAUGCGUUUGAUAAAAUUAAAAUUUGAAAAUUGAAGUCUGAAGUUUGAAUUUCAUUAAGUUAAGUUGUUGAAUUGUUAAAUAUUAGGCCUUGUUUGAUAACACAAUUAAAUACUUAAAGUUAAUGGAUUCAGAUAAUAACAUGUUCAGAUGCAUUUGAUAACCAAAAAUUACACAUCUGAAUUAAUUAAAUGACACUGAAUUUCUUAGGCAUAAUUUGCACCAAAAAAUUUUGGUAAAGUUAGUAACAUAGUUCAGAGUUUUGCUUUUUUUUAAAAAAAAAUUUCAAUUUUUUGCAAUAUUUCCUAGUGUUUAAAUGGGUAAAUCAUAAGCUUUCCAUUGAGUUGUUCUAUGCUGUACCUCACUAUUUUGAAUUAGGACCAUGCAUAUGGUUUUACAUAUUAGAAGUGAUCAAGGACAUGAGACAGGAUUUGUGGAAAUGCAGCUUAGUCAGUGAUAGGUGUCGAAUCUAUGCAAUAAUAAAUACUUACUCGAGUAAAAUAUAAAUUUUGUAAAUAGCGGUGAGCAGGGUCGAAUCCACAGAAAUUAGAAAAAAUUCGUUUCUUCUAGAGCCCAGAGUACGGAGAAUUUUUAUAAAAUUGGGAAUAAUUAAACAACUUAAAUAAAAAGGACUAAAUUAUAAUCAAUUGAAAUUGAAUCAAUAAUAAACAAACUCUAGUCAAGAAAUAACUUCAAAAAUGGUUCACUCUAUUAAUCACUAAUGCAAUAAUAAUUUGAUUUGCUCACUGAUAAUUUCAUUUUCUCCCUCCCUUCCUUGGCUAAAAAAUUUGACUCUUAGCGGCAUCCUGUUUCCUAUUAGUGCUGGGGAUCAACUUGUUCUUGUGUGUUACAAUGCGGAGGUUGACAAUGAGUUCAAGUUUUGUCGACGAUCGUGAUUGGUUCAUUAUUAUCCCUUUUAUGUGGAAGGGAAUUACUUGUUCACAACUUUUGGCAUUAGCGUUUUUGCCAAUCGUGUAUUUUACAGGAGUUUAUUUCAAGGACAUGCUCCAUUCUGUGGUAAAGCUGAGGGGUUGCCUGACCAUUUUUUGCCUCCUCAAUAUCAUGGUCAUUGUCCAAUGCCCCUACAGCGGAUUGGCCCAUAUAAGUUUGCUACCCUUUGGCUCGCAACUGUGGGGCAAAAACCACGACAUUGUGCUAAGUUGAGUGUGUUCACCACUUCACCGCUUGAGGAGGAGGAGCAUUCUGCUACUCCGCUUCGGGAGGGGAAGAAGGAAGAUGAUACUUCUUUAUAGGAAGGAGAUGAAGAAGGAAUCUUGUUUUGUUCCCAACAUUGAAUUCGACGAAAGUCUUGAACUCGAGGUAGAGGAGCAUGUUCAUUUCUAUAUUGACGCUAUUGAUGUAGUAUUCCCUCAAUCAGAAGUAGAUGUGCAUAUGUAGUGGUCCGUGGUGAGGAAGGUUUUUUGCGUUCGGUUCUGAAAUUGCACAUAUUCAUGGUUGGCAUUUGGGAAAUUGAUGAACUCAGAUGUUUGAUCAUUUGUUGUUUAGUGUACCAAAGGACUUCCGAAUCAACCAUACUGUAUAUACUAAACAUCUUUACUUUUUGUUGUUGUUUAGUAUACCAAAGGAGCAUGGUUUUUUGCUGUAGUAUUUACUCAAACAGAGGUAGACUUUUAUUCCGGGGUGAGGAUGACAAGAAUAAGCGUGAGGAUGUGUAUCUACAAACAGUGUAUCUUAAAAAGUGCAUAAUCAGAAGUCUUAAAAAGUGCUUAAAAAGUGAAAACACUAGUAUAGAAGUCUUAGUAACUUGGCCUUAGGCAACUGUUAAGAUAAGAAAUGGUCCACUUCCUAAAAACUCAGGUCUCAAAGCAGCUCAAUCAGAUGAGCAGAACUAUGCCUGUGUAUCUCAAUAUUUUCUGCAAUUCCGGGGCCUAGGCUAGGACCAAGAAGAACAAAUUAAGGGCAGACUUUUAUUUCGAUCACAUUCAUGACAAUCCUCAUCUGGAAGAAGAACAAAAUCUAGUAGUACACAAGAAACUGCUGCAAAAAUCUGGUAGAGCUAAUCUGAAAGUAUCUAAGCUAAUUUGAUACAAACUGGCUGAAGUACUCAUCAAGUGUGGUGUAUUUAACAUCAGGAUAGAGCUCCGUUGCCUCCAUGCCAAAAGAAGCCUUGAUCUCAAAGUUGGCUAUUUCUCCCUUCACGAAAAAUGUGUAUGCCAAAGACAGGAGCAAUUUUAAUGGCAUUGAAGCCUCUGCAAAAGAUACAAGAAAAGAAAGCAAUUUGAUUAAAACAUGGAAUAGGUGUUAAUAAUAGUAGAUGCUAUUGUAUUAAAAAUUAGCAACUUGUGCACUUUUUUCUUAUUGUUAGAUGACCUUGAAUUUUCUUAAGAACUUCGUCCCCUGGAACGUAGAUCUUUUCGAGGGUCUUGCCAAUUUUCUUUUCCCACAAUGAUACUAUUUCGUUGUAGGACAAGGUGUUGGCAGGGGGUGUAAUGUACACACUCUUGUUCAGAGUCCUUGGGUCAUCUGCUGCUUUGAUGGUGUAUGCAGCAAUGUCUUCUUCCUUGGUGAAAACAACUGCAACGAAACAUGAAAUUGAAGAAAAAAUUGAGAACUCUAAAAGAUGAUACUAAACCAAUCAACAUAUGCAGCAGACAAGCCCCUUUCGGAUACCUUUUGGAUUUCCAUCGCCAAGAAUGACAAUUUUGUCUCUGGGAGGACUUGCAGAGAAAGAGUCUCCAAAGUUGUUGAGGAUAUAAUUCAAGUAACCAGCAAAUCCGUUAGAUACUAAAUAAGUGUAAGGUAUCCCUUCUGCCUCAAUAGCUCUGCGGAUCUCAACCUUGGUCCUGUUUAAGCUAGCAGCUGGGUCAACAGCAUGCGCACGAUCCACAUCAACCCCAAAUUCAGAAGGUAAAAAUCUCUGAAACCAAAUACAGCUCCUUCUUUAGGAAUAUGGAAGUCACAGCUCACAAAGGGACAAACGCAAAAAAAUAAAAAUCAAGAAAGAAUUUGUAACACUGUAUUGUGCUUACUUUGAUGUUUCCAGUUUCUUUAAUUGCUUCAAUAAUCUUAACUUGAUGAGCUACCAAAUCUCCCCCGACUGCAGAGAUCACUAUGUCAACUUGUUUGAUUGCAUUUACCAACUGCUGAUGAUUGUGUAGGUCUCCCUGUUCAGUCCAUACGUACACGUUAGUUUCUAUAAUUUCUUGAAAAAAAAUUGAAACAGUAUUUAAACAACGAAGAAAGAAAUAACAGCACACAUGAAGAAAUAUGACUCCCAAACUCUUGAAACUCUCUAUGAUAACUGCCCUUUUAGGAUCUGAUAUUGUGCUUUCUCGGACCAAUGCAAACGUUGGGUGCCCUGCCUUUGCACUCGCUUCCACUAAAUAUUUCCCGAUGUUUCCAGUGCCCCCAAUGAUCAAAAUCUUGCUUUUCACAUCCAUUUCCAGCUCUAGGAUAGUAGACUACUGUUGCAAAUUGGGUGGAAACCGUGAAUUGAUGAGUUGAACGGAUGCAGAAAUGUGCUUGGCUGCAGCUUCGUGCACGGUUAAUUUAUAGAGGAAAAAGUAUUGAAACUGGCAAGCCUGUCGCUGCAGUUUCCUUUUGAUGCUCUGUUGGAUUAAUCAACGAAGUUUAGACAGUUGAAGAUUCUCACGAGGCUUCCCAAAAAAUCCUGGCACUAACGGAUUCUUAUUGGCCAGCAUGCGCAAUGAAUAGUUGUCUGGUUCUUGAAAAAAUUGACACGUAUAGGCCGGGUGGCAAUUGCGAAAGAGAAAGGUCAAAGUCAAUUGAAUGUCCUUGCGAAACUACUCAUAUGGAAAAUUUAGCGGUAGGAUUUUGUCCCUAAAUCAGUGAUGACCAUGACAGGAUAAAGCUCAUGGCCAAUAUCUUAUGGCAAAUCUGGAAGGCACGUAACAGGAUGGUAUUCCACCUUGAGAGCACAGAUGCAAAGCAGGUUGUUGACAAAGCACAGCUGGAGUGGAUAGAGUAUGAAAAUGAAACUGAUGCAAUUGCAGGAAAACAAGUUACUCCAGAACUGGACCGGCAACAGCAACAUGGCUGGGAACCACCAAAAGAAGGAGUGAUCAAAAUAAAUACGGAUGCAGCAAUAUCAGCCAGAAUGGUAAGAACAAGUCAGGGGAUAAUAGCCAGGAACUGGCUUGGAAAGAUUGUGAAAGCGAAAGGAAUUUCUGUAUGCAAGCGAGGAGAUGCAAGCAGAGAAGAAUCACUAGCUAUAAGAAGUGCUCUAGUAAUGGCAAAAGACGCAGGUUGGACUAAUAUAGAAGUUCAAACAGACUGCAAAGGAGUAGUGGACCAAAUCAACACAGGCAAUGUUCAGGAAGUAGUAUUGAAACAGUCCUAGAGGACAUUAAUGACCUUAGACAGGAUUUCGAUUACUGCAAAUUCUCUUUUGUUCCUAGGAAAGGAAAUGGCUGCAGCCAUGCUCUGGCACAGUUUGCUGCCAAGUUAGUUAAGAAUGUGGAAUGGGAAAAUUCCUUCCCAAUGUGGUUAAUAGACCCAGUAAGGAAGGAUAUGGGGGUAAUUACCCCUUUUGUAAUUAAUUCUUGUAUUAUCAAGUGUUAAUAGCUGUAAAAUGUUAACGUUUGUGGGGAAAAAAAAAAGAAUCAGUGAUGACCAAACCUGAAGUAAGCGCUGACGAACAAAAUGUUGAAGUGAACAAAAAAGCAUGAACUUAGUACUAAACAUUACAAUGUGCCAGGAAAAAAAAUGAAAAGCACAACAUUAUUUUUCUUUUUAUAUAUUCAUCAUAUACUGAUAGAAGCCUGUACUCAGAGGCUUUUGGGUACAACGAAUCUGAACAAUGCAAUUAAUAUAAUUGAUAGGGAAAAUCGUUUAAAACGUUUCUCAUAUUUUUGUAAAAUGAUUUUUUUCGUCUCUCACUUUUAAAAAGUGUAAUUUUACGUCUUUUACAAAUUCACAUCAGUCAAAUUGUGUUCCUGCCUAGGUUUCCGACUAAUUUUUGGCUGGAAUUCACCACGUGCCUUGCACGUGAUUAUUUUUAGGGGAAAAAUUAUCAAAUCAUAUUUCACAUAUAAUCUGAUUCAUAGUCUCUCACACUUCAUAAAAUGAAUUUUUGCGUCCCUCACUCAAUCAAACCAUAGUUUGUCCCCCACUCAAUAAAAUAAAUUUUUUCGUUCCUCACAUUUCACAAAAUCACUAAGCAAAAUCCUCGAUGACAAUUAAAAUGUAGCAAUAAUUGUUAGGAGGAUUAAAAAAUAGAAGCCAUGAGGACACUUCUUCAAUCAAACCAUAGUUCGUACAAUGUCAUUCCUUCAAUUUUGGUUCAUCAUCUUUUAAUUCCGUGAAAUUUGCUUUGUUUUACUUAUAAUGUUAUUAUUUGUUCAUUAUAUUUUGAUUUCAUAACAUCAAAAUAGUUAAUUUUAAUUAAUCAUAAUUCAGACAAGUUUGGAGCACAUGCACAUUCUAAAUAAGAAUAAAUGUCUUGUUAUGCUUUGAUGAAAAUUUGGUUUGCUAAGUUGGAAAAAAAGGUAUCUCUCAUAGACAAUCUAACAAUAUAUUCUUGAGCAAUUUAGAAUUCCAUCUUGUGUUGUUCCAAUUAAUUGUCUCUAAAAAUUAUAGCUAUGAGGCUAAAUAAAACCAGCGGCAGAGGAGAGAGUUGGCAUGGAAAGACAAUCUUGAGAUCGUCAUGAGAAUGACAAUCAAAUUCUUACAAACUUGAAGUGUACGAAUUUGGUAUGAUAACUAGCACAUUAUACUACAUUUAAAUUGCAAACAGAAAAUGGAAUAUUUUAGAUAAAUCAUGGCAAAAUUUGAGACAAGAACAUGAUCUUCUACAUAAAACCCUUCGCUUUCUUCCUUUUUAUUUCCUUUGGGUUUUGUUUUGUUUUCUAUAUUUCUUUUUUCAAGUCAAUGGUCUUAUUUUUUUAUUAUUAUGUUUCUUGAUUGCAACUUUUUGUGUGAUAGAGAAAACCUAUGCAUGAGUACAGGUCGAGAAAGAUCAAAGAUGCAAGCAACGUAUUAUAAUUUCCUUUGACUUUUUUUUUUUUUUUUAUCUCAAUAGAUUAUCUUAUUAAACGGAAAAACAAAGUUACAAGCGCCAAUGCUCAAAAAACUACCCCUCCCUCACAACAACCUGGCAGAGGGAUGGCACUCCUAGCCUAUCUAGAAAUAAAGCUCCUUGCGCUAAAUGGGGCAAAUCCAAAGCUGCCAAAUAUAUAUCGUCACGGGCCUGCAGACAACCAGUAUUCGCCAAUGUAUCCGCGACCUGGUUCGCCUGACGGUAACAGUGAAGAAUCCGAGGAAAGUGAGACGCCACCCCGAUCAACUGCUGCACCUCAGUGUGAAUGCCCCAUGGGCAACGUACUAAUCGAUUCAAUAUGCGGACUAAAACCAACGAGUCCAGUUCAACGUCCAGGGUAUCGAUGCCCCUCUGGAGACACAACUUGACCCCAAACAACAGGGCGCGGGCCUCAGCCUGCAUGCUCGAAGCCAAACCGAAACUACAUGAAAAUGCCAGCACCAUCCUCCCCCCAUCACGCAGCACCCCCCCUCCUCCACUCAAGCCAGGGUUACCCUUAGAACAACCGUCCGUGUUAAGCUUUAGACUUCCAUAGAAAGGUCGCACCCAUUUCACCAACCUAUGUGAGAUCGCCGUUUUCCAUGUUGAUGUGGCCAAAUAAAACUGGAUCCACGACCACGACGGAACCCGGCAGUCCGGAAACUAGAUCCUGAACAACUGUAGCAUCUCUGAGAAGAUCAAUUGACAUACAUGUGCCCCCACAAUCCUCUUGCCCUCGUACUUCAUACCGUUGCGAGCCUUCCAGAGAUGCCAGCAGAUCAUCAAAGGGACAACCUGAUGGACAAACCUCAAAGGCUUAUUCCGUUGCCGUCCCUCCCACCAGGCUGCCAUGCAUACGCGAAACGAAGACCCUGACCAACCUACUCCAACUGGAGCCCCAAAGAACCUCCACACAUACUGUGCCAUAACCCCAUCACCAAACAAAUGCUCCGUAGUCUCAAUCUCAGGAGAUGGGCAGAACGAACAUCGAGAAGGUCCCUGAAUCCCCAAUGAUAAGUUGUAUUUUUGCGAUUAAUUCUAUGAUUAUUUUCCUCUUUUAUUAUACCAAAUAUUGCGUUAAUUGAUGGAUUCUACUUAUAUUUGGUUAAUGGUGCUAAAUUGUAGGAAAAAGAGCAAAACGUGACAAAAAGGGGCAAUCUUCCAAUUAAUUUGAUGGUGGCACGUUCGGGAUCGAUUUCCAAGUUCGAUUCAAACUCUGGGCAGCUUUAGAGGAAGAUUUGGAAGACUUGAAUUCUAAUUACUAGUCUUAUUGUUGAAUUAGGAAACUUGAAAUACUUUCUUUUGUGGUUUAUUUUGCUAUUUAGGAAACUAGUUCUAUUAGGUAGUAUUUUUCCAUUAGGAAACUAAAGAAGAGAAAGAGCCGGAUCCCGCGUGAUAAAGACUUCAGCUAGCAACAAAUUCGGAUCUUCUUUUGACGGCAGAAAUAAAAGAGGACAAUUGCUUUGUUCUUAUGACUUUUUCUUUGGCUAGUUGGCCGAUUUGGCCAGGAACAAUUUUGUAAGGUUCGAAUAGCUCUUUCGCAUGGUUGUUCUCCAUUAAUGGAGGACUAACCUCUUAAUUCUAGUGAAGGGGACAACUGAAGACUUGGUUCAAUAAUUACUGUGAGAUCUAAUUUAUUUUAAUUGUUUCCUCCAUUUAUUGGUAUUCAUAUGUUUCCUGCUUUUAACUGUUAUAGCUCUUGUGUAUGAUUGAUUAGUGCGCAAUAAGUAAUUAUUCAUACAGGCUAUUUUGCUAAAUAGAGGUAAUUGAAUCCGUAAUUGUUCGUUAUCUCUAUCCCAGUAGCAACUGGCGUAAUUGGGUUUAUGUCAGGGAAACAUACGAUCUAAUUUAAACAAACCCUCGUAGCGUGUUUGUUAAUUAGGAUUGGGCCUUUCUAAUUAUUAAUGCAAACCAGAAAUUAAAUCCUACGGUCGUACCUAGGGUUGUUUUUGGGUUAGGGAAAUAGUUAACGGUCGUACCUUAGCUAUCGAUAAAUUAAGGAAGGGUUGGUUGUUUAGCGCGUGCGAGACAACUAUAACCACUCUAUUAAUAAAUGUUGGAAUUACCUUUGAAUCAAUGAUCAGUUGCAUGAACCAUUUCUGAAGUAUACCCUUGGCUAGAGUUUCUCUUAGUUAUUUCUUUUAAUUAAUUAUUUUCUGCAUUUAAUUUAUUUAGUUGUCGUUUAAUCCCAAAACCCCCUAUUAAUCUUGACUUGAAAAGAAAUAAAUUUCUCGCCAGUCCCUGAGGAGACGACCCUGCUUACCACUGUCUACUAAGUUAGUAAAUUUAGUUAAAUAAUUAAUUCAAGUAUAUCGGAUUAAGCAAACUCUUCGGGAACAGGGUGAAUCAAGUAACCUAUUGCACACCUAGAGUCCCUGCUCCAGUACUCGAAUUGAUUAUUGACUGCUUUAUGUGGUAGUUAGGUUUUAUUUAUUAUUAUUGCACAGGUUCGGCACCUGUCAAUUUUUGGCGCCGCUGCCGGGGACUGGUAACAGAUUAAUUUGUUUCUUUUUGAGUUCAUCUUGUUUUUAUUUUUAUUUAUUUAUUUUUCUCUUAUUUUUUUUAUUAUAUAGUUUAUGGCUUCUAACACUCCGUAUUUUGGUGAUAUACUGGAUUUUGUUUUCGGGGAAGGCAAUGAGACUGAUUGUUUUUCUAAGUUUGCAUAUUUAGAGGCAAUAAACUCUAUUAAAAAAAGAAUGGCUGCUGCAACCUGUAAAAUUUGUUAUGCCAGAGAUCAUUCAACCGGUAUGUGCCCCGAAUAUCAAGAUAAUCUGAAUGUCCCAAUCAAUAAUUAUGGAGAUUUUUCACCCUGGUCUCAAACGUGGUAUAACUCUAAUCCAAACGGGUAUGAUCAAGGAUGGUGGGAUAACUCCAGUUAUGAUUAUACAACAGGGCCAAUGAAUUUUCAGCAGCCAAUGAAUUUUCAGCAGUAUGAGUCUCAAGAACCAUCAUCCAUGUCAGGUAUGUCUCUUGAAGAAAUAGUUGAAUUAAUAGCUACUAACAUAUAUCAAAUUCAACCAGAGGUACAUCAAGUUCAACAGGAGACACAAAGGAUGAGUAAAGAGAUGAAAGAAGCAAGGCGUGAAUGGGCAUUUAAAACGAGCAAAUUGAUUUCUCCAGUUUAUGAAGAAUUGCCCUCACCGACUAUUAUCGACCAUGAGGAAGAUGAGAGUGCAAUUAUUUUGACAAAUGACAUGGUACUGCAAGAGUCUCAAGAAGAAGAAUCUAAAGAUGCAGUUGAAAAGAAAGUUGAAGAGCAGAAAUUGAGACCCCAACAUCAAAUGGUUCAAGUGAAUGAAUCCAGUGAACAAUCUACAAAUGCGGUGACAUCUCCUCCAUUCCUUGAUCAAUAUUUUCCUGACUCUUAUUCUUUAAUUCCUGUUAGUGAGAUUGAUUUUAUUAUACCAGACGAUUUUGAAUUUCAUGCCAGGAAUAAGUUAAGAGUCAUGAUGGCAAAAUAUUUCGAACCAAUAAGUGCUCGUGAUGGAGGAGUGGGUGAAGAUUUAAGAUCAUCACUUGUUUGUUUGGCGCCAUCUACUAUCCCAUGGAAGACCGUAGCUCGUGUGCUCAAGAAUUACUUUAUUUACGAGGGCUAUCAGGAUUACAUAGAAGAUGAAGCACUGAAGCGAGCUACACGAUUUUAUCCUCCAUGAAUAAAUAUGGCAAUGUCUAGCCAAAGACAUUAAAGAAAGGCGCUGCUUGGGAGGCAACCCAAGACUCUUUAUUUUAGUUUUCUUAUGCUUUUUGGAAUUUUUGUUAAGUGUUAGUUGCAUUUAGUGAUUUGUUGCUUUUGUGGCAGGAAGCUAACAGUUAGACGUGCCCUCGCCAGGUGGUCACGCCUGAGGGGAAGAAAUUUUCGUGCAGGUUCUGCGGACUCUAUAGCAGUUAGACGCGCCCACGCCAGGUGGUCACGCUUGAGGGAAAGGAAUUUUCAUUCAGGAUCUGCGGACUCUAUAGCAGUUAGACGUGCCCACGCCUAGGCCAGAGGCUCCUUAUUCUAAAAAAAAAAAAAAAAGAGAAAAAAAUUUUUACAAAAGCAAUUUCAAUUUUUGGAGAAUUUCGGUAAGACUAGUUAAAAAAAAAACAUUUUAUUUUCUUUUUCUUCUUUUCUUCUUUCUUUUCUUUUCUUUCUUUCUUUCUUCUUUUUCUUUCUUCCUUCUUCCCCGCUGCUUUCCCUUUCCCCCUGUCCUUUUCUACUUCAGCCGCAGCCUCCAUGCUCCAUGCCAUCAGAUCGCACGCCAUCAGCUCGCGGCCAAGCCGCGUCUCUCCUCCACUCUCACCUUCCAAGAGCGCCACCCCCUCAGCUUAGCUCGCCGCACCCCACCCACGGCCUGCUCCAUCACCGUGCGCCUCCUCCAGCUUCGUCCGCCGCACGCCGCGGCUCCCUUCCCCAUCACGCGCAGCUCCUCCUGAGCUCGCGCGCCUCCACCGCCACCAGGAGCUCGCUGCGCCUCUCUUCACUGACCAGCUGCGCCUCACCACCAGCUCUUCAGCCCUUCAUCUGCGCGAGAAGCCGCCGCCUCAGCUCGCCACUCCGCCGCUGCCAUCGCGACAGCCCACGAGCCCCACCUAUUUCUCCCUCUCUCUGCCGCACGUCACCUCAACCCCAGCUCAUCCACCUCACGUGCACCUCCUCCGUCGCGCCCCAGCUUCAACCCGCGCCGCCCUCCAGCCAGCUCCACCUCUGCACCUCCAAGCUCCACCGCCAGUCCACACAGCGCAAGCCACCUGUCAAAUUUCUUUGACAGGUGGAGGUAUUGAAUUCUUCCCCAAAUUAGUUUCACUCUCUGAAAGUUGUGGUUGAAUUUCUUGAUGGAUAAGCGACGAUGAUAAUUUGGGCAUUUUCUAGGGUAAAUUUUGAACAGAGUUGGGUUUAAUUGCUGACAUAGUGGGGAUAUUUUCUGCUAUUAUUUGAAUUUUUGGCCGAUUGAUUAAUUUUUCCCUGUGACUCACCAGUGGUACUGGUUGAUUAAUUUUAAAGUUUAAGUUCUUGCGGUUGUGUUACUGCCAUUGAAUUUAAUUCUUUCCUGUCUGUGCACCAGUGGUACUGGUUGCAGUGUUGCUUUCCAUUUCUUAAUCCUCUGUGCUGGACUGCCUAUUCGAUUCUUGAGUUUUGGUGCCUGAACUGUCUCUCGAUUCUUACCAUUAGUUGCUGGAAUUGCUGGUUUCUUGGGUCAUUUGCUAAUUUUGGUGGGUUUAACUGGGUAUUUAACUGUCCAAUUGGAGACAGUUGUUGAGAUUUUGGGUGGGUUUGUGUACAAAUGCUGAAAUUUGUUGCGUUGUUUAGUCACUCGCACUGCUCUUAGUUGGUUCGAGUAAAACUGGUUGGACGUCCCUAGCCCGUGGAGUUUAAUUGUUACAUUGUUUGGGGUGAUUUUCUGGUAUUGAUCGAAUUGUUGGGCAUUAUUUGGGGGUUUUGGCUGCUUGAGACCUCUAUUGCACCCUUAGUUGAGUAAUUUUCUAGGUUGGUUUGUUGAAUUAGUAUUGCCAUUGGUUGACUCUAAGUACCUUGUUUGGGGAGUAUUCAGUUUUGUGAUUUCAAUUGCUAAGCUCAUUGGAGCACUUGCCGAGAUUUUGAGUUGCAUGAUUUCUGCAUUGACUAAUAUUCGGACCACCAUUGCUUAUUGUUUGUAAUAGCUGCUUUGUUGAGAUUUUCGCCUAGUCCUUAGGUGCCUGAAGUUUCCAUUUUCUUGAUUGGGGUGGCCGUUUAUGUUGCUUCAUUAUCUGAGGGAUGCACCAGUGGUACUGGUUGGGGUAUUAUAACUACAUUUGUUGCCACUUGGUUCUAGUUGGUGGGCUACUUGAUCGAAAACUGCCAAACAUUUUGAUUUAGUUGUAGUCCAAAAUUUGAACUACUAUUGCUGGUUUUGACGGUUUCGUGGCUCAUUUGCUAAUUUCGGUUGGUUGAGUGGUGUAAUUUCUUAUCCAAUUGGAGCCAUUUGGACAGAUUUUGGGUGGGCAAGUUUUGUCGCUCUCUGUUGAUCUUUGGGAGGCAUUUCUGACCGUAUUCUACGUAUUCAAAUUGGUUGAAUUCACUGCUUUGUCGAGGUUAUUUUUGGUAUCACUUGAGUUCUACUUUGCUGAUUUCUGUCUUGCGUCCCUUGAAGUGCCUUUGGUUGGGUAUUUUCUUCAUUUGUUUGUUGAAUUGGAAGGCUACUGUGCCACUUCCAUUGCUUAUUGCUGUUGGUGGCGUCUAAUUGACUUGCUGGGAGUAUUUUACCUUUUGAUUUCAAUUGCUAAAUCUUUAGAGCAUUUGUUGCGAUUUUGGACUACAUUGUUCCUGCAUUUGACCCAAUUGGAGCCACCAGUGAGUAUUUGCUGGUUUGAUGUUCUCUGUUGCACUCUAGUUCGCCUGGAUCAAGACGCACGUCGAAGCUCUCCUUCCCUCUACAAUCUUUCACUGCCGCGCAUCACCGUAGCACCAUUUUCACUCCACCGUUCCCACCUAUUCCAUAGCCCCCCGAGACCUUCCACCACGUAUUCAGGGAAGUCCCGUUGCCCUUCGCCUUGCUAUUACUGUUUAUUUGUCACAUUGAGGGCAAUGUGUGAUUUAGGUGUGGGGGAAGUAGUAUAUUGGCAUUUUAUUGAAAAGUGAAAGUGUAGGCAUUUUUGUUGGAAUUUUUGUUUGACUUUGUCGAAUUUUGUCCAAUUUUUGCCUAUCUUUGUGCUUAUUUGUGAUUAUUCCUGAUAAACGAUGGUUAGAUGUCUCAAAUUUUCCUAUUGCUAAAAUUUUACACUUUAAGGUGUUGAGUAUGACAUGGUUGAUUUUAAGGGUAUCUCUUUGGUGAAUAUUUGAGGUUUUGUGACUUUUGCACUUUUUGGUUAACUUUUCUAAGUAUUGUAAAUAUUUGUCUAGCAUUUUUUGUGCAAAUUGGUUCAGCUAUUAAUCUUAGUUCUCCAUGUUUGAGAAAUGAAGCGGGUUUGUGUGGUAUUUAAUUUUAUUUUUGGUGCUUAUUUAUGAAUAGUAUUAGGCUAUACUCCGCUAGUAUCGUUGCCUAGUAACCGGGAGUCUUCACCACAAAUGUCGACUUUCGCGUCAAAACGCGAUGAUAGCUAUGAGUAUGUGGUUUUUAAGCGAUGAUGGCUGAGUAACCGGGCUCCUUCAUAUGGCCAAUGUCGGAGUUCGUGUCAAAACGCUUGAAUGGCUAAAAACUAAGCGUUCCCCCUAAAAAAAUAUCAUCAUUCAUGUGUGGGGAUAUUCUAAAAAAAAAAAAAAUGUGCUAAUAGUGAAAAAUAUGGAAGUGUGUGAAUGAGUUGUUAGCCCGCUGAUUCAUGAAUUUUAAUGUUGAGAUUUUGCUUAAUAGUCGAACCAUUUGCUUAUGGAUGCUGGUUAAGUAUUUUAUAUUCUUAGAUUAGUUAGUCAUAAAUUGAAAGAGUCCUUGAUCUUGAAAGCUAAUUGGAGGGAUAUUCCUUGCAAAUUGCCACUAAUACUUGACAUGUAUUUUAAUUGUAUUUUGGCAAUAGACGAUUUGAGCAAUACCCAUUGUUUGAAUUCGAUUGCUUGAUUUGUUGUUCUCAUGCUUGAGGACAAGCAUGGUUUAGGUGUGGGGGAAAUUGAUAAGUUGUAUUUUUGCGAUUAAUUCUAUGAUUAUUUUCCUCUUUUAUUAUACCAAAUAUUGCGUUAAUUGAUGGAUUCUACUUAUAUUUGGUUAAUGGUGCUAAAUUGUAGGAAAAAGAGCAAAACGUGACAAAAAGGGGCAAUCUUCCAAUUAAUUUGAUGGUGGCACGUUCGGGAUCGAUUUCCAAGUUCGAUUCAAACUCUGGGCAGCUUUAGAGGAAGAUUUGGAAGACUUGAAUUCUAAUUACUAGUCUUAUUGUUGAAUUAGGAAACUUGAAAUACUUUCUUUUGUGGUUUAUUUUGCUAUUUAGGAAACUAGUUCUAUUAGGUAGUAUUUUUCCAUUAGGAAACUAAAGAAGAGAAAGAGCCGGAUCCCGCGUGAUAAAGACUUCAGCUAGCAACAAAUUCGGAUCUUCUUUUGACGGCAGAAAUAAAAGAGGACAAUUGCUUUGUUCUUAUGACUUUUUCUUUGGCUAGUUGGCCGAUUUGGCCAGGAACAAUUUUGUAAGGUUCGAAUAGCUCUUUCGCAUGGUUGUUCUCCAUUAAUGGAGGACUAACCUCUUAAUUCUAGUGAAGGGGACAACUGAAGACUUGGUUCAAUAAUUACUGUGAGAUCUAAUUUAUUUUAAUUGUUUCCUCCAUUUAUUGGUAUUCAUAUGUUUCCUGCUUUUAACUGUUAUAGCUCUUGUGUAUGAUUGAUUAGUGCGCAAUAAGUAAUUAUUCAUACAGGCUAUUUUGCUAAAUAGAGGUAAUUGAAUCCGUAAUUGUUCGUUAUCUCUAUCCCAGUAGCAACUGGCGUAAUUGGGUUUAUGUCAGGGAAACAUACGAUCUAAUUUAAACAAACCCUCGUAGCGUGUUUGUUAAUUAGGAUUGGGCCUUUCUAAUUAUUAAUGCAAACCAGAAAUUAAAUCCUACGGUCGUACCUAGGGUUGUUUUUGGGUUAGGGAAAUAGUUAACGGUCGUACCUUAGCUAUCGAUAAAUUAAGGAAGGGUUGGUUGUUUAGCGCGUGCGAGACAACUAUAACCACUCUAUUAAUAAAUGUUGGAAUUACCUUUGAAUCAAUGAUCAGUUGCAUGAACCAUUUCUGAAGUAUACCCUUGGCUAGAGUUUCUCUUAGUUAUUUCUUUUAAUUAAUUAUUUUCUGCAUUUAAUUUAUUUAGUUGUCGUUUAAUCCCAAAACCCCCUAUUAAUCUUGACUUGAAAAGAAAUAAAUUUCUCGCCAGUCCCUGAGGAGACGACCCUGCUUACCACUGUCUACUAAGUUAGUAAAUUUAGUUAAAUAAUUAAUUCAAGUAUAUCGGAUUAAGCAAACUCUUCGGGAACAGGGUGAAUCAAGUAACCUAUUGCACACCUAGAGUCCCUGCUCCAGUACUCGAAUUGAUUAUUGACUGCUUUAUGUGGUAGUUAGGUUUUAUUUAUUAUUAUUGCACAGGUUCGGCACCUGUCACCCAACUUCCAUACGGAACAAUCCAAGGGGAGGCGAUCCCGCAGCAAGCGCAAGAGGAAAAACAAAACUCUCAGCGGCACCCCUAGAUGCCAAAUGCGAUUGAAUAGCGGCGAAGGCCCAGAAUGAUGCUGGACCAAGGAGAAAGCCGUCUUGAGCGUAAAACGGCCCGAUGGCUCCAGUCGCCAAACCAUUAGGUCAGGAAGUGACCCGACAGGUGGGUGCAUUUGACCAAUCUCCGCAACUAUACCUAGAGGUACCCAUUGUGAAAUCCUGCGGACGUCCCAGGAACCGCCUUGCACAAAACCCGCCACCUUGUGGUCCGACACGCUAUCCAACCGAUCCGCCAGCCCCCCAGUACCUAGCCAAUUGUCAAACCAAAAAUUAGAGCUCCCGGACCGGAUGAUCCAUCCAAUGUGCCUCUCCGCCAAGGCUCGGACUUUCACCAUCCUUCUCCACCCCUCUGAGCCCUUCUCGGACUAAGUUUACUGUAAUUUCACUUCAAUAGAAAGGAAUAAGUUGUAAAUAAGGAACCAACUUUAGCCAUUCUUGGAGUUGAGAAUCAUUGUCUUCCUUUGCUUCAGCUUCUCUUCUCUGAGGAAAGCUUUCAUGCUCCCGAGUUCAUCUUUGAUGAAUUGAACAUCUGAUUUAAUCCCUCCCAAAAGCGUGAUCUCUUGGGAAAGCAAGGUUGAGAGCUGGUUAAUCAAAAAACCUACAACACUCUCUGCCAUGGUGCUCAAUCAAAUUUCUCAAGAGUCGGUUUUCUUAUCAAGAAAAUUUUGAGAGUUGUUCCAAAUUUCAAAAAAUAUGCUAUUUUUCUUUUUCUUUCUUUCUUUUGUAGUAUAGAGGAUGCAGAAUUAUAUGAAUUUGAAAGAAUAGCUAUUCAAGAAUGAUAUAAAUUUGGGAACAUAUGCUUUUUUUUCCCUUUGUGGUAUAGACGAUGAGUUUUGUUUGGCACUUUGGCAGUACAAAUCAAAAGUUAUUAUAGUCAAAAAGUAUAUAGACUAUAGAGCAUAACCUAUAAAAAUAGGUAAAGAAUAACUAUUCUCUUGGGCUAAGAAAGGCAUAGAGAAAAUUUUGGAUUUCUUUUGAUUGUUUAAAUUGGAAAGGAAGGUAUUUGUCAUGUGGAAUCUAACAAUCUUCAGAUAAUGUUCAGUUCCUUCUUAUGUUUUCUUAAUUUGCUCCAAAAAGAAACGGCUAACUAUGAUUCUAAGUAAAAGUAAUAGAUAGGAAAAAAAAAUGCUGUUCCUAAGAUCCAACUUACUUUGGUAAGGAUGACAAUCAGAUAAAGGUAAAAUCCUUGAUUUACCUCGAUUUACCUCUUAUGCCUUCCCUUUAUCUCUUCUCACUUACAAGCUUUGGGAAAAAAAAUGUCUUUUAUUUUGGGGCUAUAAAGGAUGCAUUUUACAUGAUCUAUCCAAUCCAAGAGUGACAGUAGUUUCAAAGGAAAUCAUUCUUGAAAUUAAUACUUUGGUAAUACUUGCAAAGUAACAUAAAGUCAUUGUAAUGAAAUAAAGAAAGGUUUGCCUACCUGCAACGAAAAACAUAUUAAGCAUAACCUAAGAAAUGGCCCAAGGAUAUUAGAAUACACAUAUUCUCACGCUAAGAAAGGCAACGAUAAAUUUUGAUUAGUUGAGUUGGAAAUCAAGGUAUUUGUCAUAGUCAAUCUAAUAAUAUUGUUGAGAAAUGUUCAACUCCUCUUCUAUGUUGUUUUGAUUGGCUUCCAAAUGUGUAGCUAAGAUUCUAAAUAAAACCAGCUGAAAAGAAAAAGUUGACAUGAGAAAGACGAUCUACGGAUUUUAGGAUGAUAAUAACCACGUCAUAUUUCAUUUCAAAUGCCAAUGGAGAUUGGAAACUGAACUAUUUGGAGUGUCAUUGAGGAAAACGUACGUCUAUAGGCAGUUGCAGAAGAACUUGUAUAUAAGAAAGUGCUUUUUUGCAGAAAGCUCCUCCCUCUGUCUCUAUCUCUCUUAUGUAGUUUUAUAUAAAAUGGAAAAUGAGAAGAAAGUAACUCCAAUCAUAAGAAAUGACCUAAAGGCGCUCGAGGGACACGUGUGAUGAAGUUAUAAUAUUUAAUUAAUCCUUCUAUUAUUUCAUGUAUAUCUACAAAAUACUCCUAUAAUUUUAUGAAAAGUUGUUCCUCCCCUCCUUCCCCUCCCCCAAUAUUUUAUUUGGUACUUGAGUAAGUGAUAAGAGUUUAUUUUACGUAUUUUUAAGUGCAUUUUAUUAGUUAAUUUUGAGUUGAUUAUUUAGUUUUAUAAAUAAAAUAAGGAGGUUUUUGGGUAAAAUUAUAUAUUUUUGGUAAAAGUGGAUAAUAUUGCAUUUUAGUGAUUUUAAUGGUAAAAACUUCAUUUUUAUGCAGGAAUGAUGAUUCAAUCACCAAAGGAUGUCAAAUGAGGUGAAAAAUAGAAAUUUGGUGAUGAAUUCAAGUGGUAACAAGAAGAAUGAAGUGAAAAACGUUCAAGUGAGGAAAUGCAAUACAAGUCAGUUUUGACACUCUUUGGUAUUUUGACCAUAUCUGGAGCUACACUUAUCGGAUUGAGGUGUUCUUUAUACCAUUUUAAAGCUAAGAAACAGACCUACAAUUCAUAUGAAGACAUCGAAAUCCAAUUCUGCCAUUUUCAUGGACAAAAAGUCAGAAUACCAAAGCUGCAUUCUGUGGUCGGAAGUUAAAACAGAGGUUUGACCAGGUGUUAGUAUUUCGAUCAUAUCUCAGGCUACAAAACUCUGAUUUUGGAUGAUUUUUGAAGCAUUGGAAAGCUAACUCAAAGGGCUACAACUUUUGUGUUUUGCACAAAAGCCAGUUCGGUCUUCAUCAUGGAGAAAAUCGCAGUUGAAAUAAGGCCAGAGUGAAAACGCGAGUAGAAAAAACGCGAGUUUAUGCCGCGUUUUGUGUAGGCACGUUUUGUAGCCGAAAAUCUGCAAUUUGCUCAGCCAUUCCUCUUGUGUUCAGACUACUUUCCAGCUAUAAGUUGCAAGGGAAUUCGGUGCACAUGCUUCAGAAGACCAAAGGGCAAGAAAGGGGGCUUAUUUUCAAGUCAAAAAUAUUAGUUUUUGACUAUGCUAACAAAGUGGAGAUUUGGGAAUCAAAGGUUAGAAUUUGACUUGGAAAAAUGGAGCCUUUGAGUAGUUUUUAUGCAGAGACAUUGAGGGAGGUCUGGACAUCCAGACGUAGCUAGUAUUCUCACCAAAAAAAAAAAAAAGUCUCUCUGGCUAGGUACUUGCAAGGGGCAAUUGAGGUUUCAUCUUGUAAUCAUCUAAGUUCAAGACAAAGGAGAUUUUUGGAAGGCUUCACCAUAUCUUGGCUAAGGCUUUCUUUACUCUUUUUGUAUUUGUAAUUCAUAAUGAUUUGUAUUAAUGAAGUUAUGAGUGUUUCAUCAUGCAUGAGUAGGUAAUUUCCUUUAUCUAGGGAGUAGAUGAAGCUUAUGGCCAAGUGAUAUGAAGUGAUUGUGAUUUAUACUUGUUAUAUCUUGUAUUAACUUAUCUACUUGUGUAUGUUGGAUUACUUGUUGUUGUUUGAUCACCAAUAGCAGGUUUAUACUUGUUUUUACUCAUUGAGAAAUGGUAAAAAUAAUGGAAUGACAUAAGUAGAGCUUGAGUAGUAUAUUCAUGAGAAUAGAAAUACAUUCAAGUGGAUGAAAUCUACAUUUCCUGUAUGCACAAAACAGAUUUAGUAUUUACCAAGAUAUUAGGAAAAACUAAUCUGUUUUAACCCAUUAUUAUCAUGAGAAUGUGAUUUUGGUAUUGUUGGAAAUGAAUCCUUGGUUAAACAAGAGUAGUAACAAGUGUUAAAUUCAUUCGUUUUAGAUCUUUUGUGUUAUAUGUGGAAUCUACAUCCCUAGAUCUUAAUAUUUAGUGAAUUCUACUCCUAUUGUGAAAUUGCGUUUAUCUAGUUAAGAAUUUUUGUAGUUGAAUUAAAUUCUGAAUUUUCUGCUCAAAUUUAUUGUGAGUCUAAAUAAUAGAGUAAAUUAAUAUCUAAUAAUUGUUUUAAUUGCUCCUCGUGGGAUCGACCCGAUACAUACCCAAUAUUACGAUUUUGGCCUGUAUACUUGCAGUAAAACGGAUAUAAUUCGGAAUUAAACUUGCACUUAAAGUAAAAACCCGUCAGUAAGGGCAAUACAAACAUUUCAAAUAACGAUUGUACAAAGACUCCUCUAUGUCAAAUUUUUAAUUUAUAUAAAAUUAUAGUGGGGAUUAUGUGAAUAUUUUGAAAGAUUAGACUUUAAAAGAAUCAUGUGGUGAUAGACUAAACCACACUAAAUACAUAGUUAUUUACCCUGUAUCCUAGUUAUGGAUCUUGUUUUUGCAAUGCAGCAUUAUGACUGCCAAGUUAUAAGAUGAGACUUUUUCUUGUUCGGCUGAAAAGCUUUUCAUAUGCGAGUUUACUAUCAAGAAACUAGCUUCAAACGUCUGUUUCUUCUGGCACAGAAGUUAGAAGAUCACGAAGAUAUUCAAAAUCAUAAUCUGAAACUGAAGUCCGGCUUCCAACUGAAGUCAGCAUAUUAAGUUUUUUUGCAUUAAUCCGUACAAUCUGUAGCUAUAGAUGGAAUAAUAAGCACUACACCAAACUUCAUUUUUAUACCCUUUGAACUUUGUUAUGUUAGCUUAAAAUGUUGGUCCUAAAUAUCUUUGCACUUUAUCCUAUUUUAAUACAUCUGUUAGGAGGGUGAUACUGUCAGCGCAAUUACGUUCUUUCUAGAGCACUUUACAACAAAUAUCCAUAUGAUCAUUACAAAAGUUUAACACUAAGUUAGACAUAGGAUCACCAUAUAUUUCAGACCACUCCGUCCCACUCUCGUUGCCCCAUCUCUCUCAAAAAUCUCAAUGUCCACCGAUCGCGAAAAUUGCAUAUUCAAAAGUCCGAAAGUGUUCAAAGCCACAUUCAUCAUAAACUACCAGUGUAAGACUUCAACAGGUAAAGGCAUUAGCCAGAGCCCAUCUACCAUAAACAUUUGCAAGCAACUUGCAAUGGAGUUUCUUUUACUUGAAAAAAAAAUGUGAUGAAGUAUAUGAGCAAAUUACUAGAAAUAUGACACGAUUAUCACAAAUAAACAGCAUGCUUUUCGUUUAUGUAAUAUGAACUGUUAGUUACAUGUAGUUUCUUAGCUAUCUUUAUUUUUUCUUGGUAUAAUAGAUUUGUAAGUUUUUUUUUUUUUGUUUAUUUGUGUGUUUUUCUAUUUGUUUUGGUAGAAUUUGGACCCCACCUUCUACUAGGGUUGUGAAGUGGUGUCUUUGAGUUCAAUAACACAUCAACAUGCAUCAAGGAGCAUUGUGCAAGUAAGAAGAAAACUUGAUUAAUUAAUCUUAUAUUAGUUUGACAAGUCACUAUUGUAACUUCACACGUUUUCUAACAAUUUUUAGCAUUAGAGUUUUUAGGGACAGAAUCUGCUAAAUAAUGAUGACAUUGACCAACAAGUUGCUAAAGAUGAAAAACAUUGAAUGAAAACGCUUUUGAAUAAAUGGACGAUGAGAUUGUGGUCAUGGAUUAGUUAUGCCUGUCAAUGGAUUAAACCAAUUUGAUUUUGACCGUCAAUUAUUGGAAUGUUUCGUCAAUUGUUCUAUAUUUGCCUAAAACCACAAACUUUAUGGAGAAGAUUUUUUUUUUUUUGGGUUAAAACAUUAAGGAUCAUUUUCGCGUAAGCUAAACAUUUGGGAUUAAAACUGCAUUUCUUCCUCAUUUCACUAUCUCUUCUUUGAUUUUCUCAAAAGAAUAAACCUUUUGAAUUGAUUUUUUAAACAGUCGAAACAGCCUUCUUGAACUUAUUUUUUUGUUCUUUACAUGCGAAGAAAGAACUUCAUUUAAAAAUGGAAAUAAGAUAAAUGUUUGAAUACUUCUAUUCGUGUCAAGCUUAAAUUCUUUUCAUCAAUUUUCUGAACUACCAACCUCAAUUAAAAAGAAAAGACUUCUUCAAUAAACCCUAAUAAAACUUGCGUACCUAGCCUCAAACGUAAUCAAACCCUAAUUGCCUAUUAAUCAGUUUGUCUAUUCAUUAACUACUGCAAUUGCCCUAAGGCUUCACAGUUGCUAUAAAAUAGUUCCUUUGCCUUUUUCUUCACUACCAAAACCAUUCUUUCCCUACCAUUGUACAUUUUCUAGCAAUGGCAAAAGCUUAAAAUUGCAAGGGCCUACUUGAUCACAUGAAACUGGAGGAAAUCAAUGAUAUUUCAAAACCACAAGUUUGGAAGAAUUCCUGAAUUUUAUCAAUUGCUUCUAUCUUCUAUAGGUAAUAGUUCUAAAUAUUGAUCUUUUUCAUUAUUUUUUUUUUAUUAGAAGCAUAUAUGUUACAAGUUUGAACAUAACAAUUCAAUAUUUUAAUUAGAGAUCUUUUUUUUGGAUAGUUUAAGUUAUAAAAAAUAAUAUAUUUGUAGAAAAGAGGUCAAUUUGUAGUAGUAUGCCAAUAUAUUGGCUUUUUUUGGAUUGCCAUUCUCUGGACAAAAAUCUCAUACUUUUUGGGAAUAUUUUCUUGACACAUUUUUCAAUAAUCUUUUUACAUCAUAUACAUCACAUCUAAAAAAAAGUGUUACAAUACUUUGUUUCUAAAAAAGCCCGUUUAAAAAAUGCAAUCCAAACAAUAUAAUUCCAUGAUCAAUCAUAGUUUCAUUGCAAUUAGGAACUUUUUUCUACAGUUAGAAUAAAAAAGCUAAAAAAGAAAAUUAGAACCUCGACAACAAAAUCGAUCAUGUGACUUGACUUUCAUGAUUACUUGAAAUAAUUCUAGUCAAGGUGAAAAUAACUUGUAGUUUUUUGGGUAAAGGUCAAAAGGCUGUUUGGGUACAAAAGAAUAUAGUAGCAAACUAUUGGUUUAAAUUUAAUUUCAUUUAAAUCAAUAGAAGGGAAGGAUUGCCUCGGAUUUUUGUGCUAAUUCAUUUCCCUCUCAAUAUGAGUAAGAAAGGGAAUUUGGGAAUCCGAUGAUUGGAGUAGGAGUUUGCUUGGUUCGAUAGGUUAGUUUGGUAAUUUUGAUUAGGGCAAAUUACAUUUUAGCCCCCUAUGGUUUAGCGUUUUUUUAUAUAACCCCCCUAUGGUUUCAAAAGCUAUACAUAACCCUCUCAUGAUUUGGAUUAAAGUGUCAAAGUGACGGAAAUAGUCAUUCAUAACGGAACUUCUAGAAAUGUCGUAAUUACCCUUAUAAAUACAUGACACACUAAUCCCGUACGAUUUUUAUAUUUUACUAUAUAACUCCCUUAUGGUUUAAUAUUUUACCAUAUAACCCCCUUAUGGUUUUCAAAAUAUACACAUAACCCCCCUUAGUUAAUAAAUAAUUUUCAACUUUACAUAAGAGUAUUUUUGACAUUUUAGGUGACUCCGUUACGAAUGAUCAUUCCCGUCACUUUGACGCUUUAAUCCAAACCAUGAGGGGGUUAUAUAUAAUUUUUGAAACUAUAGAGAGGUUAUGUAAAAAAAUAUUAAACCACAGGGGGUAAAGUGAAAUUUGCCAUUUUGAUUAUGACAUGUGCUUUAUUAUAUUUUAGGAAUAUAAGAGAAUUUGCCAAAACAUAUAUCUCUUUAACAAAUUUAAAUCUUUCUAUUACUACUACUCAAAUUUUUGCAAAGGGAGAAACACGUUUUGGUACUCAAUGUUUGACUUGUAUAUCAAACUGGUCCGAAUGUUUUAGCCAAAAUAAAUCUAUUAUCCAAAUUUUCUAAUUUUGACUUUACAUUUUUAGUUCCUAAUGUUUGAAGUUUCGAUCAAUAUGGUCCCUUUAGUUUCAAGUAGUUAUAGCUGGGGGCUUUAAAAUGGAAAAAAAAAUGUGAAUUGAAUUAAAGAUAUGACAAAUGUCUUCCUAAAAUCCCUAAAAAAUUUCAUAAAAACACUUUAUGUCAACACAAUAACAUCUUUGAACUUAAAGAGUUUUUUUUUUGAAUAAGUUACAAUCGGAUGACAAUAUAUCCAUAAUAUAUAAAAUAAAAAGAAAAGGAGAAUUCUAGUUUUAAUAUAAAAUUUAUUAGCAUUCAAACUAGUCUACUACACAAGUUCUUGCAUGACUUGUGCACAUGGUCCUUAAUUUGUUAUAGUUAGGAAUUGUAAUUAUAAAAGCUAGUAAACAUAGAUACCAAUAUGAAGUGCUUUUACUCAUUAUGGGUUAAUUAUCAAUUAAUUACUUAUAGUAUAAAACUAUAAUUACAUUUAUUAUACCAAAUUUGAGACCAAUUAUGCAAAAAGGAAGAAGUAUACGAGACAUUAGUGACAUGAAUAAAUGAAAUAAAAAAUAAAAAGUUUAAUUAGAAUUGCUAGUACCCAUUUAAGAUAAUUGCGUUGUAAUUCGCAUCUUAUUAUAUCCAAAUACACUCAAUAUCACUAAUGAAAACUUAAGCGACUAAAAUGAUUAAAAUUUCAAACAUUAGGGAUUAAAAGAGCAAAAUCAAAACUAUUAAAUAAUGGUAAUUUGAUUUUAACCGUUACUCAUUUAUUGACUUUCCAUCAAAUGUCCUUAAUGCAACUAGUAUCAGAAAUCUUCAAAACCACAUUUAUUUUGGCCGGAACAUGAGAGACUAGUUUAGCACAUAUGCUAAAAAAUGGAGACUAAAACUACAAUUCACUCCAUUUCCAAAAGAAAAAACUACACCUUCUUUUGUUUUAUUUUUGUGCACACAUGUGAUUUUUUUUUCUUUUUUCACCUUUGAUGUCACACAAUGGUCCAAACCAGCUGACAUCUGCUAAUAGAUUCAACUGUUAAAAUGUCUGUGUGAAUUAUGAGGACGGUAAUAAGUAGAAAAGUUUUGUUUGGUAUGAUUUUGGGUAGAAUGACUAAAUCAUUUAGUUUAAAUUACAUUUUAGUAAACUAAGUGGAAGAACUAGGUUAUAAACCUCAUUUAUACCCAAGAAAAAAAGAGGGGGGAAAAUAAAUAUAAGUCUUGUUUGCUACUUUGCCAUACAAAUUACAAUCCAUUAAUUCAAUAUACUGAAAGGGAUAAUUUCACAUACCUCCCCUGAGGUUUUUGAGAAUUACAAGAUGCUCCCCUCAAGUUCUAAAAAUUACACCAAUCUCUCCUAUUUUAUUAUUUAAGUAACAUUCUAGACCCAAAAUGCUAGAUUUUUUUUUCAAAAAUCCUGUAAUGCCCUUGAGUUAUAAUUCACAACAAAAAUAAAAAGGAAAAAAAAAUGGUUCAUAGUCUUUAUUUCAUUCAUCCUUACUUGUUAUCACUAUUACCUACCUUCAAUGUCCAAAUCACCACUAAAUAAAUACAUAUCUUUGUUCUAAUGUUCCUCUUUUCCUUAAAAAUUGUUGAUACAGACCAUUGUAUCAAUUAUAAAUGCCGCUUCAGAUGCCCAAAAGCUUACUUAUAAUCUUAUAUCAAUAUCAAAUUUUACUUAAUACAUUACAAUAUUUAUCAAUAUCCAUAAAUUUCAAUUCCAUGGUUGCCACAUUUUUAAUACAAAAUAAUCUAAAUCAUCACUACUAAUAUCAAUAUCCAAUAUACUCUAGUGGCACAGAGUUCAAAAACCAAAUUCUCUCUAUAGAAAUAACAUCAAUAAUUGUAAAUUAAAAAUAGAAACACAAUGCAAUUAUAAAUAUAUCAGGAACAUUUUUUUUCAUAACAACCAUAACAGUAUAACUCAUAUUUAGUUUCUAUUCCACUUCCUAUCCUUAAUUUUUUAUUUUGUAUCACUACCACUAUCCUCAUCUCCAUCUAAUUUGAAAAUGAAAUUAUCAUUCAAUUUAUCAUUUGUCAAUUUCAAUUUGCUAAUGUCUAUCAAAAAUUGGAAACAAAAAUGAGCAUAAAGAAACUAUUUAAUAAUAAUAAAAAAGAGAGAAUUGGGAAUAGAUACCGAGAUAGGUAAGUAUUGGUGGUUUGGUGUGUAUGGUGAUUUUAUUAGUGACGACAGUAUAUGAUAAAGAGUUAAAUGGAAAAUAGUGUAGUUUGAGUUAUUGGUAGAUAAUAAUAAGAAGUUUUAUUAUUUGAUAAAAUUUUUCAACGAGUUGACAAUUAAUGAAGGGUAUUGUUAUCUUUUGAUCAUGUUAAGGGAGGUUUUGGUAAUUAUAUAAACCUUAAGGGAGUCGAGUGAAAUUGUCAAAAAUCUCAGGGAGAUUUCUGAAAUUAUCCCAUACCGAAAUUGAAACCCAAGUAGACUCGGAAAGGAAUGAAUGCCGAAAAACUUGGGACACCAAAAACAGAAGAAAAAGCAAAAGAAUUGGCGGAAGAAGCAAUGAAAGUGGAACUGAAAACCAAGGAGGAGCUGAAGCCAUGGGAGCAGCAUUCUGCUGUGAUCAGCAUUCCUCGUUUUGAUUACAACGCCCCUUCUUCUCUCCUCAAUCAUUCCCACUCCGGCUUCCUCAUCACCUGCCCCAUCGCCAUCAGUAAGGCCUCUCUUCCCAUCUCUUCUGUGCAGAAAGUUAUGUUCUUUUUUACUCUUCUGUUUUGUUAUUUUUGUAAUUUAUUCGCUUCUUUUAUGUAAUUUGCAUCUGGGUUUUUGAAAAUUUUCAAUUUGAUUGUUUGGGUUAGUUUGGGCAGUGUGGAGAUUGAUAAAAAUGCUUCCUUUGUCUAUGUAGAGAGGGAGAAUAGUGCAACAAAAGAAGCCAUGUCAAUUCUUGAAAAAGUAAUGAAUUCUGCUGGUUUUGUUUCUUCUCAGUUCUCGGGAACAAUGUCAAAAUAAGGAAAUUUUAGACAUAAAGAAAAUUCAUGCUAACUUGAGAAUCAGGACAGUUGAAUUAUUUUACUGAAGUUGGUUUGGUGGGAUUCUUAAUUUCUUAGCAAGGUUGGGAACUUGGCGCUUUUGUAAGUGAAUAAGACUGUAGCGGGCUUGAAUUACCGGUAUAAUGUGUUUGCUGCUGUAAUUGUUUUGGUUUAAGAUGAAUAGUAGCAAUGUUAUGGAAUAGAUGUUUGAAUGAUUAAGCGUAAGUAAACAGCAAAUGGGAUGGCAACUAUUAGAUAAAACUCGUGAAGUUUGGAGAACUGGGUGAGCUAUGCAGAAGGUAGGUACAGGCAUGUUGUAUUCUUCAAACGCAUUAGGUAUUAAGGGAGGGAGGAAAAACAAACAAACUAAAGUUGUUUUCCGUUUUAAAUGUGAUAAAUGUAUGGAAAUGAAGUGUAAUGCUAAUGGUCUUCAUUUGUGAGAAAAAUGGCAAAAUAAUGCAGUCGACACUGUUUUCAUCUGUUGAACUUAGUUUAGGAAAAACGUUUAUCAUUUUUGGGUUCUAAACUUGAUUAAGAUUUCAGUUGGCAGACAACCAGAAGGAUAAGAUGUCAAUUAUCCUGCCAAUAGGUUAUUAACAUCUGAGUCUAGUAGCUGGCUUUAAAUUUUUUUGCUGAUGAUCUUCCACUUCACGCAUUUAUUUGUAAUUAGUGCAUUGUUAGGUCACAGAUUAAUAUGGUUUAUUCCUUGUUUACAUCUCUUAUUCACCUUGCUUUGCUCACACUCUGUCAUUUGUCACUUGGUUCAAUCAAGUGACUCCGCUUAAGUCUGCUGUGCCUUCUUGAGUAAAUGACAUGAUUUGUCAUCCACAAUGCAACACUGGUUUAGUUCUUUAUCACCCACAUCUUUCCAGUGUGUAUAUAUGAAUGGGUUACUAUUUUCCUUGAAUUUGAAGAGGCAUAUGUAUACAUAGUCAGCUUAAGCUUGAGUACACUACUUAUAUAGGUUAAGGACAAAUUCACCUUACUAAUAUAGAAGUUUUGCAUUGUUUUCUUUGAAAAUAAAACAGAAACAAUUUAUAGAAGAUAUGCAAUAUUUUGUACCGUAAGAAAAAAAAUUAUAAAUAUAAAAGCAAUUUAAUAAGGAUAUGAUUAUAUUUCUCUGGAGAAUGACAUGGUCUUAAGAAAUCAUAAUUCUGUUAGGAGAAGACCAUGAGUCCAAUUUUGUAAGACAUUUUAGACAUCAGUAUUGCAUGCAUGAAUUAUUUAGCUGAUUGCCAAUCAUGUAGCAUAUGGUCUUAAGAAAUAGAUAUGUAAGCAUCAUUUUUGCUUUUAAAAAUAGAAAGGCAUUCUUUGUUGCCGUAUCUUUGGAUAAUGGUCCUUUGUCCAUACUUAAAGGAACGUAUAUAAGCGUGAGAUGUUGCACUCUUCUAGGACUAUAAGGAACCAAAUAAUAGGAGGACGAUUUAGAGUUUGCUUAAAAACUUGUGGCAGACAACUUUUAGGAAUUGUUUUUGGAUAUAUUUACACCAGAAGCCAAGCAUUGCCGCAGCUUAUCACCAUGUGAAAGAGAUGAAUGAGUUUCAGUCAUAUUUGAAGUCCCCUCCAAAGCCUGUAUCAUUUUGUGUGUAGCAAAAGGGAGACAAAGCGUGAACCAACUUGGAGAAUGGAGAGGUGUGCAUCUGUUCCUUGCAAGAUUCUAUUCUUUUGACUUCAUGGAGUUUUUAUAAAAGCUGUGUAUACUGAAUGUUUUCUUAGGGCUUCAAACUGAUUUUGAUACAUUGAUACAUGUAUGCAUUCUGUUCUUUUCCUUAUGAAUGCCACCAGCAUUCACAAUUGAUGCAACCAAUAAAGAGUUUAAGGGAAUAUUAGAUUGAAAUAUUCUUGGGAACUUGGCUGAAGAUUGAGUUUACCCACUUCAAAAAAUGGGUAACCUUUUUAGGAUCUUGAGUCAUUUAUUAGAAGUUUUAAGUUCUACAUAUUUCAGUAGACUUAAAAUUUAUGGUGCUUUAGUAGUUUAUAGGUUUUUAUGUGUUAUGGGUAUUGGAUAAACUAACAGUGGAGGGCACUUCAGUCAUUGUUUGAGACCAUGAGGCUUAUACAUUGACUUUGAUGGAAGGGUUCUUAAUUGAAAUGUUGUGAUUCGUUGCCUCAAGUUCGUGCCAUAAGAUAUUCUGGUCCCUGGGGCUGAAGCCUGGUACAAACUGCAUGUUCCACCAUACCCAUAGCCAGACACCCAGGUAUUUUAGGCCAUCCAUGAAGGAGUUAAAGUUAUCCAUUGGUGAAUUUUUAUGCAUGGCUAUUCUAUGUAAAUGGUUUUCUCAUGAAAACUGGUGGAGAACGGGAGUCUGGUCUAGCUCGUGCUGAUCUAUCGUUGUUCUUUACGUUUUUUUGUUUUUUGUUUUUUUUGCAUUAAUUUGUACAAAAUCUGAUUGACUUUUAGCACUUGUGAUCUUAGAAGAGUGCAUCUUGCAAUAGAACUUUUUUCUCUAAUCAGGUUCCAUCAUGAUAGCUGUAUUAAUUUAUGAAAUAUUGGUUAAAGGAGUGACGCUUAGCACAAGAAUAAUCAGAACUUGGUUGUACAACAGACGGUCUAGGGAGCAAUUCUGACAUAAUUGUUUUACAUGAUUGUUAGCAGAGAACUUGCAGUUAAAUGAAUUGUAGUUCUUUAAGACAAUAGCCUGUGAUUUUUAGAUACUCAUGCAGCCGAAUUUGUGCAGAAUCAGCAUGAAUGAUAUUUCUUCACCAUAUAUAUAUAUAUUUUUUUGGGGUUUAGGUGAUCUGAUUGGAUUCAUUGAAUUUCAUGUGUAUGAACCAUCUCCAUGGGAAAGCCUGCUUGCAUCUAGUGAGUGUAAAGUGUAGAAAUCAGCUUAGUGUCCUGUCACCUGUAACUGCAGUACAUUUUCUUACAUGUCUUCUUGUGUAUGUAAAACUAAAUAAGUUAAUUCAAGUCAAGUCAUGUUUAUGUUCUGUGAGAUGUUGACCAGUUAUAUGGUAAAAUAUUCUUUGCAGUACUCUAAAUGCUGAAGGUUUUGAAAGUUUGGAUGCGAAUAUGUCAGCUAAGAGCAGAAUAUCUGUAAGUACAGAGGAGGAACUUGGCAACAGUAUGGAGAGGAAAGAUGCAGACGAUGACUUUGGAGAACCUGGUAAUAGUUUAACUCUGGUAUUUUAGGUUAUACACAUGCUCCUACAGAUAGUGCAAAUUACCAUGUAUAACUACUGAAAUUCCUCCCCCCCCCCCCCCCAAAAAAAAAAAAAACUACCUGCAAAUCUACAAAUUAAAUGAAGAGCUGCCCCGGGGGGGGGGGGGGAUUUGUCUGCAAGAAUAGGUAAUAUUGCUUAUAUGCAUGAAAUAAUGAGAAGAAGUUUAUUAAAAAAAUAUGUUACUAUAAAAACAGGGAAUGAGUAGUUAAUUGAAGAAGGGUAAAAAAACAUCUUAUGAUAGCUGCAUCCCUCUGACAUACUUAUUUAGCCUAGUUUGACUUUGUAAAAGCCUCUAAUACUGCCCAUAUGUGAGAAUUCUUCCCCCAACCUACCUUUAGCAAAAGUAUUCUGCUUACCCAGUUUGCUACAAAUAGUUUAUGUGAGAGGUAUGUAUCUGUGAAGGUUUUGGCUUCUUAAAAGAGAUGAUUUCAAGGCAAGAUUUGGUGGAUUGCAAGUUACAAAGAAUUGCUGGAGAAAACUUGUACAACCCAAAAUAUUAGCAGCGGACAAAGGAUGAAAUGGGAUUUCCCUUGCAAAAAUGAAUAGAUAGCUGUGUUUCAUUGGACAAUUAGCUGUUAGAAUGAAUGAACAGAAUGUACUCUAAAAAAGUUGUACAAGUUUUAAGUAAUUGUGUUGUUUCAAUUGUCUAUUCUGUCUUUCAACAGCCCCAUAUUGAUGUAUGGUGUGUGAACUGGAGAAGAACAAUAAACAAUUCUUUUCUUAAUGACAAAAGCAAUGAAAGAAUCAGAAAGAUAAUUGUAAUUUGGUACUUACAAAAAAACAUGUAGAUAUUAUGGUGUCUUAACUUCCCCGUUAAGGUAGACAGUGAAGCAGAAUAUCUUAGAUCACACACUACAUUCAGCUAGCUAGGGCUUGAUUAUCAAAAUUACAGAAAUCAUGUUUAAAAAAUAAGUUUCAAAAUGCACUAAGAUAGAGGACAUAUUGCUCAUUAAUUAACUUGGAUAUCAAACAAAAUAUGAUUGUGCUUCCUCUAUUCAGAGAGGAUUAAAACAUAAAACCCAAAAAUAAGGAACUUAAACAAUUUUGGUCUGUAGUCGGUUUGGCAGAGAACUUGAGUCAGUUUGGCAUGUAGUCAACUUAUCACAGGCUGGUGGUGGUGGUAAACUCCGUGCUUGGAAACUCAAGAAGCAAAUGAUGGCUUUAAGCUUAAGGGUAACUUUUGGUUCCUGUAGAUCCCCAAUUUAUGGCUUGGGAGGAUUCUAUUUUCACCUUACUGAAGAUGGUCCUAAUUAUGUCAUGAAGCCUGACGAUGAAGAGGAUCACGCAGUUUACUUCAACAAUGCCCCUCCAAGCCUGAGAAUGGGUGGCUCAAAGUUCCUCCCAUGCUUGCAUGCAGAUUUUUGCCCACUCACCAAGCAAUCAGUGGUAGCAAAAUCUAUGUCCUUAUGGAAUGAGGUAGACGAUCAAUGGGCAUCCUCUGAGCUGUAAUUUUCCAUUUGGUGAACCUCCUGUUGAAGGAUCUCUCUCUUUCCCUCCAUUGGAACAAGAAUUUGCCCCUCAGCGCCACAUCCUGUUUCCUAUCGGUGCUGGGGAUCAAGUUGUUAUUGUGUGUUUUGAUGCGGAAAUUGACAAAAGUGUUCAAGGUUUGUCGAGGAUCGCGAUUGGUUCAUUAUUAUCCCUCGUGUGUGGAAGGGAAUUACUUGUUCACAACUUUCGGCAUCAGUGUUUUUGCCUAUCAUAUAUUUGACAGGAGUUUAUUUGAAUGACCUGCUCCGUUCUGUAGUAAAGUCAAAGGGAUUGCCUGACCAGAAGUGGAUGGCAAGAAUAAGCAUAUGAGGAUGUGUAUCUAUAUACGGUGAGAUUUUUUUUUCCCUUUAAUUCUAUUCUGUAAUAGUACAUAUGUUUGGCAAAUUGGUGAACUCAAAUGUUUUUUGCCACUGCACUUUUAAUACCCCGUUGUUGUAUGAAUCUCCUUGUUGACUUUUACUGCGGUUAUUUUCACUCCAUUUCCAGAAAAUCCACUCCACUUAAAUAUUUAAAAUAGAAGUUUUACUGAGCCUGAUUUUGAAUUCUAAAUGAAUCUGAUUUUAAGGAAGCCCAUUGAGAUCAUUUGCCAACAUCCAAAGCAUACUUCAAGAAUAUGAGAAAUUAAUUAUAUGUUUAUCUUCACUUUGCCUAUCCAAAUCCAGUACUUUGUGCAUUAGCUCAAUAGGCAUAUCAUAGAACCCAAAGGCAUCAGUUUACAUGGCCUGUGGUAUCUGAAUCGCAUUGAUUGAAACAGGUUCCAUGCUGUGUUCAUCGCAACACUGUCAAGUUUGAGUGUGAACCUCCAACUUUCUGCUGUGAUAUAUAAUGCCAAGUUUUAGCUUAGCUCUUCUUGAAAAUCACAAAGAGUUGCUUAGAGUUAUUCACUUCCAAAAUCGAGGAUUCAAAUUCAAUUUAGGAAAACAUCCCGGCAUUUAAUGACGUGUUCUCAAUCACAUUAGAGUUUACACAUUUCAGGUUCAAGAACACAAGCACCAUAACAAGUGUGGUUGGUUGUUUUGCAGAAGCGAUAGAACAAAGUAUAUACAGCUGAAAAAAAUAAAUAAAUAAAAGGAAACAACAAGCUGCAGCAAACAACAAAACAUAUCAAACGCUAGAAAGAACAAAAUCCUUGCAAGAAUUAUGUGGAAAUACCAAAAUACAUGAAAAAGAAUGAUCAUAUAGUCAAAAUCCUCGAAGCCAAUUAAAAAUUAGAAGCCAGGAGGGCACCUUAAUCAAUCAAACCAUAGUUUAAUUUAGAAUUCCAUUUUAUGUUGUUUCAAUUAAUUGGCUCUAAAUAUUAUAGCUAUGAGGCUAAAUAAAACCACCGGCAGAGGAGAAAGUUGGCGUCAGAAAGACAAUCAAAUUCUUGUAAUCCUCAAGUCUAAGAAUUUAGCAUGAUAAUCAGCACAUCAUACUACGUCUAAAUUGCCGACAGAAAAUGGAAGUGUAAUAUUUUAUCUUUAUAAAUGUCUUUGAGUGGAACUUCUUUAGGUUACAGGACAAAUCAUCGCAAAUGUGAUCUUCUACAUAUAACCCUUUGUUUUCACCAUUUUUUUCCCUUCUUCUUGUGUUUCGUUUUUUGUUUUCCAUAUUUCUCUUUUCAAGUCAAUGGUCUUAUUUUUUUUAUUAUGUUUCUUGAUUGCAACUUUUUGUGUGCUAGAGGAAACCUAUGCAUGAGUACAGGUCAAAGAAAGUUCAAGGAUGCAAGUAACGUAUUAUAAUUUCCUUUUGAGUAAGGUGACUGUAAUUUGACUUCAAUAGAAAGGAAAUCAGUUGCGAAUGAGUUUGGAUAGUGUUUUGUGAUAUCAAACCACUAUCAGUUAAAUUUUAUUUGAGAAAAAUAUACAUACAAACUAAGGAUAUAGAAAGAAAAAAAAAAAGGAACACUGAACCUUCAGUUUGGACUUUGGACUUUGAAAGGUGUUAUCGAAGCUUUACUAAUUUGACAAACUUCAUCUUUUAUGCUUCAUACACUUUGAUCUUGUUUUUUCUUCGGUAGAUGCUCUGUUCUAUGUCUUGCUGAACCAGAAAAAUUUUGAUGGAGUUAACUGGAAAAUGAAAAUCUAAAUCCAUACUUGUACAUACGCAUAUUUUGAGGAAUUGAGGUUGAUUGUUACUAUUUCAAUAUGAACUUAAGUCAAUUGUAACAUCUGGUGGCUACAGUCGUGAAACUCUGCUCUUUAGAUUUUGAAACAAUGAUUUCACGCAGAAAAUCGUGGAGACCACAUGUAGCCAAUGUGCCAUCGGUCGAUCUGGAUUUAACUUGGAUUAAGCUUCUGUUGAUGAGUUCUUUCAUAUAUCUCAUAGCAAUAUCGGUGGAUGUUAUCCCUUCUUUCUGUUCUACAAAUCCUAGUGCAAUCCAUUUCAGAAGUAUAUCAUCCACGCCAAUUGGAUAAUCUUCAGGGUAGAUGCUUAGAUACAAUAGGCAGCUUUUAAGAUAGUGAGGCAAAUCAUUGUAGCUAAGUAAGAGUACCCUUUUGAUCCUGUCAAGCUUACCACUGCCAUCUGCCUCGCCACCAAAACCAUGAAGAAUCAUCUCCCAUUCAUCUGUCUUUUCCUUGUCCUUCAGAGCCAUAACACCACCUAUUGCAACAAUUGCAAGCGGUAGGCCCUCACAUUUUUUCAGUACUUUUUUAACAACUUCUUCUACAUUUGGAGGACAGUCAUUGCUCUGAAAUGUUCUAUUGCAAAACAGAGUCCAAGACUCUUUAUCAGAAAGAGGCUCCAUCUUAUAGACGAAGUCAAGUGAUCCUAAACAGGACGCAGAAGCUACAUCAGCCAUUCGUGUUGUCAAUACAGCAUGACUAGCGGUAUUGCAGUCAGGCAAUACACAUUUGAUAGCUUCCCAGGCAUCUAUACUCCACACAUCAUCAAGGACAAGAAUGUACCUUUUUUCCUGGAGGAAGUCUCUGACAAAUUCAAUCAGCAUAUUAUCAUCCAUGGAUUCCACUCGGCGAGGGACCGGCCGUCUGAUUUCGUUGUACAACUGUUGGAUCAGGUUCUUGAUGAUGUCCCUGAACUGAAAAUUUUGAGAAACAGUUAUCCAGGCGUGGCUCUGAAAUUGUUUCUUCACUGCAGCGUCAUCAUAGACUUUUUUCACCAGGGUAGUCUUCCCGAGUCCCCCCAUUCCCACAACCGAAACUACUUUCAAUUGGGAAUGGUCAUCAACGAUUUUUGAGAUGAGCUCUGCUUUUGGCUUAUCAAUCCCAACAAGUCGAGCUUCUUCAAUGAAGAGUGAUUGAGCACGAAUGUCAAAAUCUGCAUUCACCUGACGAGAAGAGCUGAAGCCUCUUUCUUGAGUACCAUAUAGGGACUGGUACCUCUGAUGCCUUGCUGAAAUCUCUCCAACUCUGGCCUUGAUGUCUUUUAUCUCCAAAGAAAUUUGAUGGCGAGCUUUCAGAUUCUUUAUUGAGUUAUAGAUCUUUCCAACCUUGCCAUAGAAUCCAUCCAUGUAACCACGAGCAAAGCGGAAGGUAAAAUCAUCGAGAACAUCCUGUGUAUCAUAAGCAACUUCUCGAACCUGCUUUAGCCAUUCUUGGAGUUGAGAAUCAUUAAUAUUGUCGUCCUUUGCUUCAGCUUCUCUGAGGAAAGCCUUCAUGCUCCCGAGUUCAUCUUUGAUGAAUUGAACAUCUGAUUUAAGCCCCCCCAAAAGUGUGAUCUCUUGGUAAAGCAAAGUUGAGAUCUGGUUAAUCAAAAAACGUACAGCACUCUCUGCCAUGAUGCUCAAUCAAAUUUCUCAAGAGUCGGCAGGCCAAGACUUCACAGUGGCAAAUGAUCAAUGGAAAAAGGAAGGUACCUUAUUGCUGCUUUUUGUGAUGCUGUCUCUUCCAAUAAUGCUUUCCAGAGUGCAAAGGACAAUUAAGUGGCUUUCCCUAUAUACAAUUAAGGUCAAAAUGGUCCAUAGUCAAAAGUUUCUCAUUAAUUUUUUGCAAGUGGCUUUCCCUAUAUACAAUUGCACGAUUCAGUCAUUGGAUGCCUGCGGUCCCAUAUUCUAUUCAAUAAACUGUUUUUUUUUUUUAUUCUGAGUGUCACCUACAAUUGUCAGUGUUCUUGGCCAAAGUCGUUCUAUUAUAAUUGCUUCAGGUUCCAAAAACUAGAGUCAUGUUUUAUAAUAAAAAUUGUAAGUGGCAAAUGUAAACCAAUGGAAUGGUUGCAUUAUUUCACACACGCGUUUGUUUCUGAUAGUUACAGCCCUUAUCAACAUCACACUGAAGUUGGCUUUGAAAGGAAAAAACAAAAAAGUCACAUUCAACUUUCGAUUCUUGGUUCCACAAUAUCUUGUGAGGUCAGAAAUUAGCUGGACAUCACAUGGUUGCCCAAAAAUGUUUGUGAAAUUUUUUUUUUAAAAAAAUGUUGGCAUUGAAAAGGGGCAAUAUAUCACUGGAAAAGUUAUUAAAAUUAAAUGUGCCCAUAUUUCUUUCAAUGACUGAAAAUUGAGAUAUACAUAGAAGUGGUAGAUAACAACCGGAAGAGGCUCAUGCUACGAGUGCAGUGAAUCAUUAUUAGUUUUAGUGUCAAAGAGGGGCAAAUUACGCUUUAUUCCCCUGUGGUUUAGUAUUUUUUUUACGUAACCCCCCUAUGAUUUCAAAAUCUAUACAUAACCCCUCAUAAUUUGGAUUAAAGUGUCAAAAUGACGAAAUUUACAAUCCGUAACGGAGUUAACUAAACUAUCAAAAAUACCCCUAUAUAAAGUUGAAAAUUUUUUAUUAACCACAGGGAGUUAUGUAUAUAUAUAUAUAUUAAAAAUGAUAAGGGGGUUAUAUGGUAAAGCACUAAACCAUAAGGGGAUUAUAUAGUAAAAUAUAAAAUCAUACGAGAUUAGAGUGUCAUGCAUAUUAUGUUUAUAUAUUUUGGUCACUCCAUCUAUUUUAGUUUUUAAACAAAAGUAAUUUCGACAUUUUUAUAGGUUCUGUUACAGAUGAUCAUUUCCGUCACUUUGACACUUUAAUCCAAAUUAUGAAGGAUUAUAUAUAACUUUUAAAACUAUAUGAGGGUUAUGUAAAAAUUAGCUAUACCACAGGGAGGUAAAGUGUAACUUGCCCGUCAAAGAUCAAUAAUUCUCUACUAAUGGUUGCUCUCAGAGCUUAUGUAUAUGUUUGCUAUGGCCGAGUUGAUUCAUAUGCUCAUUUGACAAUUAACUUCUACUUAGUCCACGCUAUAACUUCAAGCUGGCUACUGUUUCAACUACUAUUUUGGCAUCUCUUUCCUAUUUGUAACACCUUAGUGGUUAAUAUGUCGGAUGAUUCAUAGAGUUUAUGAAACUGGCCACAACCAGUAAAAUCCAAAACUCUGGAACCGAUUUACUAUUUUUCUUUUUUUGUUUUACAAUUAAAUGUUUGAACUGGGGUUGAACAGUAUACUAAAAACUUAUCAUUUGCUUCACGAGGAAUUUUAUGUAUGUUCGAAACAACUAUUAGACAUGAUCCAGGAACAAUAGAAAAGUUUCAAGUGGAUAUAUGAGGAUCUUACUUACUAAUUUACAUGUUAAGUGAAAUCCACUUGACAUGUUAUAUAAAAUCAGGUGGAACCCUUGUAUUUCAUUGGUUUGAAAACAAUUAUUAGGCAUGAUCGAUAUAAAAUUUUCCUCCAUUUCACUUAGCAGUUCAAAAUUUUUUUUUUUAAAAAAAAUAGAUUAAUUCACGUUGCUCUUCCCCCAUUACCGCUAUCUUCUGUCUUUCAAUUCCUCUUCAAUCGAUACAUGAAUAUACCAUCGGAAAUAGUGACUGAACCCUUCCAUCCUUACUUUGCACUCCCUUGCGCUAGCCAUGUUUUGAUCCAUAGACCAUGUCACUAUAAUCACAAAAUAUGUGGAUGUAUGACAAGCUUCUCAAUGUUCAAAUGUCCUACAUUCACAUUUUAUUAUUGGAAUGGUACUCCCAAUUCUAUGAAGAUAAUACACUAUUAUUCAUAAAUUUUAAUAAAUGUUAGUUUUUGAAAAAAGAAAAACAGAAAAGAGGAGAUUCUCAAAAGUAUCUGACAUCGUAGUUGACUCAAGUCUCGCCAUAUUCGUUCUGUUCAUCCGCUAAUACCAAACAUACCUUUGUUUUUUCAUUUUCAAAUUUCAGCUACUAGAAAUAAUUUUAUAAAGCAAGGGGCAAAUAUUAAUUAAAGGAAAAGUCAUGCACGAACCAAUGGCUCUCUGUGUACAAGCUUAUUGCUCGAAUAAAUAGGUAGGAUGUUAAUGCUUAUACGACAAAUUGUGAAUGUUAACAAGAGUGACAGUUGUUUGAAUAUUAUAGAACUCAAAUAAUUGACAAAUGUACACAUCUUUAGCCUUAUAUAGAACUUUCAAUUAUUUAUUAUAUAUACACACACACACAGAGACAUGUACGUAUAUACAAAGUGGCUAAGGAACUUUUCCAGUGACUUUCGUCGUCCUCCAUUUGGUUAUGGUUUGCACGUGAGUCUUGGUUUUGCUGUUUUGGUUGAGUGAAGAAAGCUAGAAGUGUGAGGCUUGUUUGCAUAUUUUUUUGAAUUAAUCUUUUCUAUACUGACAAUGUAUAUACUAUCAGUUUUGGACAAAUAAUAGCUAUACAAAAUUUAAAUUUGAAAUUCAACUUUUAUACAUGUAUCAUAAAUUUAAUAGUGAUAAUGCAUAUAACGUCCGUGUAUAUAGGAUUUAGUCUUUUUUAUUGGCAGUGGUAAUUAUAUCAUGUCCUGUUGGAGAUUAAAGUAUCGCACUUUUAGUGGUUGCGGGUUUAUUUUGUUUGUGUGUGAUUCAUUUUGUGUAGAGAAUCCUAUGAUCUAAAAAAGCAAGCCAAGUAGGUUGAAAACUCAGGUUCUUCAGUUGUAGCACGGAUUAGAAAGUAAAAAGAAAGCGGCAAAGUUAUAUUACUAAGACACAAUUAGGUCACAUUGAAACAGGUGUUUGGACGCCUGGUUCUGAACUACUUGCCACUCAUAGUCACGGUGGUAAUAUAGUAGGCGUUGACAAACUUCAACUCCAUAAUCAGAAUCUACAUAGAACACUGUCUCAUAAUGUAGCUUCUACAUUAGAUAGCCUGUGCUUUCGAUUUGCUUCAACAUCUAAGGAUAAUGCAGAAUCUCAGCAUAAGAGUUCUUCUUCUCUUGCACCAGUGGAAGGUAUAACUAUUGUUUGGUUUCCUCUUUUGAUUCCAUCUAAAUAGCAUAAAAAGCUAUUUGAUUCUUUCUAUAGAAAUUCUUUCUGUUAAUGCAGUUGAGCUUCCACUGCUCUCCCAUUUAGUCUGCCUACGAUCCAUGACGAGAAUUCUUAUAUACAGCUUGGGCAUGUCCUAACCUAUGAACAAUGUGAUUUUUGAAGCUAGACCCUCAAGUGAAGAUAUAUAGUUAAUUUUUAAUGAUAUAUAUUCCAACCCCGUAGAGGAUUCAUUGGGAAUUAACUUCUCACAGCUUCCAGGCGUGUCUUUCUAAUUUAUUGUUCUACAGAAAUUUUUUAUCAGACAUGUCAAUGAGUGGGAUAUUAUUCAGAUCCAAUCCAGAUCCACCAUAUUUAUUUGGGGUUUGGAUUUACGUUUUUAAAUUCAUACCCUACUCAGAGCAAUACCCUAUAAAAGAAUUAUGCAUUUGAGUAGGGUCUGAUUUUAUAUGAUUCAUACUUAAACCCAAAUCCAAACUUAAAUCCUAUCUAUCUAUAACAUAGCCUGAUGCAAUAUAAAACUUUUGAAUACAUCAGGCUAUGUUAUAGACAGAUUGUUUUCCAGGAUUUUUGAGUUUAGAAACUUGUUCUUUUGGUGAUAAGAGAUUUUCUAGGAUAAGUUCACAAAUUUCAUAUUGAAUCAGACUAUGUUAUUAACUGAUUGUUUUUCCAAGAUUUUUGAGCUUGGAGACUCGUUCUUUCUGUGAGUACUCGAGCUUGAUAAGGAUCGAUUUGGCUUGAUAAGUACUCCAGCCUUAUCGAAUCAAGUUCGAGCUUAAACAAUUUCCUCACAAGUCGAGCUCAAGCCAUAUAUUAGUUGCUCAAACGAGUUUGAACUCGAGUUCAAGUACCAGUAUCACCUAUCGAGUUCGAGAUUCAGUCGAGUUUGAGUAUGGCACUACUCAACCUCGACUCGGCUCGUUUUCAUCGCUUAUACCAACUAGACUUAUUUUAUUGUUCAUUUAAGUCCGAACACAUUUUACUUACAGCACUAAGAGCAUAGUUGAUAAAAUACAGGACAGAUAUAAUACGAGAUGCUAUCUGCAUACAUAUUAGACUAGUUUUUUUUUUAUCAAAAGUAUGAUUAAAAUUCAGCAUAAAAAUACGUGUUCGGGAAAAUUACUCAUAUAAAAUCGUACAUAAAUAGUAUGAACAUAUUUGAAAGUUACAAAACUAAAAAUAUGGAUAGAUUUACUAUAGUUUUCAAAGAAUAUGCUGCUCUCUUAUACCAAUCUUAAAAUUAUUUUCAUGUAUGAGAUGUUACAUUUAUUAAUUUUGUUACCAUAUUGCUUAAAUAUGUAUAAUCUACAGUUAUUAUGUUAUAUGUGACUCUUAUUUGUAUAUAACUCAUAAACAUGUCAUUAUCAUUACUCAAAUUUUAAAAUUUUUUAAAUUGAAGUAUAAUUUGCGAAGAUGAUACAUUAUAAAAGUUUAUUACGUGUUUUGUAUGGUUAAUUGAAAAGUAUAAGUAUUUUUCAAAAUAUUUUUGAAAUGCAGGAAAUAUUAAUGUUUUUUGGAAUGAUACGUAAGAACGUAUAUUCUAUGAGUAUAAUAUUAGUAUAUACGAACUAGGAUAAGAGAAAACAAUAGGAACCAACUAAUACUUCAAAUAAUUUACCCAUUUUACAUCCCAACUUUCUUGAAGCAUUCUCCACUGGAAGAAUCAAUUCAGACAAAUACCUUACCCCUAUUUUUUUUCUAUUUUUUCCACUAGUUGCUCAAAUGAAUUGUUUUGGAUAUAACUAAAAUGGUUAAUAAUUGUAGAAUACAAUGAGAUAUCUGCACCACUUGUAAAACCUACCAAAGAAAUCCGUAUUCUAAAUUUCAAAUUUUUGUCUACUAAGCAUUUCGUCAUGCUAAAACAAAAAUUACUAGGCAUUUCAUCAUACAGAGGGGAAUAAAUUUGUAUCACAAUCACUCUACAAUCAAGAUUAACGUAACAAUAAUUUUUUCUAACGAACAAGAACUUUGUACAAAAUGCUAUGUAUUAGUUAUUAAGAAUUCAUCUUGCAUAAAUAAAGUUCCGAGUGAAUUUUACUUCGUUACACUGAAUGCUCCUCAUUUGCUUAUAAAAAAAUUCUCUUAAGUAAAAACACAUGGAUUAAAGAUGCUAAAAGUACAGGAAAAAAGAGGAGGUAAAGAGCUAGUGUUGCACCAUGGAAGUUCACGUACAUUGAACAUAUAAUUGAAAAAUGCAUUUAUUCAGGAAAAAUUUUGUGGAAAUAAAAUUAUUUGUUAUAAAAAAUAUUCUCAAUUUUUUGUUAUAAAAAAACUCAUGGGACUCCGUCGCAGUAUUCUCAAUUCUUAUUGGGCAUUUGCUGGUUCUAGUCUCAUGUAUAUUAAAUAUUCCCAACUAAUCAAAAUCUACGGGUUCAUUAUUUAGAAUGCAACCAAUAAGAACCAAAAAACAACCCUUCAUAAGUUCUCUUAAUAGCAACAAAUGAGACAAGGAAAGUUGAAACCAUUCUUUCCCAAAUUGGAGUUUUCAAAAGGCAAAUACAUAUAUAUAUAUAUAUAUAUAUAUAUAUAUAAAAGGGUCUCACGCACUCUCUCUCUUCAUUUUACUGUGUAAAAAGGCAAUAUUGCCUAUUUAUCAGUUGUGUCUAUUCGUAAACUGCUGCAAUUGCCCUAAGGCUUCACAGUUGCUAUAAAAGAGUUCCUUUGCCUUUUUCUUCACUAUCAAAACCAUUCUUUCCCUACCAUUAUACAUUUUCUAGCAAUGGCAAAAGAUUAAAAUUGCGAGGGCCUACUAGAUCACGUGAAACGGGAGGAAAUCAAUGAUAUUUGAAAAUCACAAGUCUGGAAGAAUUCCUGAAUUUUACCAAUUGCUUCUAUCUUCCAUAGGUAACAUUUUUAAAGAUUGAUCUUUUUCAUAAUUUUUUUUGUUUUAUUAGAAGCAUAUAUGUUACAAGUUUGAACAUAACAAUUCAAUAUUUUGAUUAGAGAUCUUUUUUGUUUUUGGAUAGUUUAAGUUAUAAAAAAUAAUAUAUUUGUAGAAAAAAGGUCAAUUUGCAGUAGUAUGCCAAUAUACUAGUUUGCUUGGAUUGCCAUUCUCGGGACAAAAAUCUCAUGUUUUUCGGAAAUAUUUCCUUGACACAUUUUCAAUUAUCUUUUUACUUCAUAUACAUCACAUCUAAAAAAGUGUUACAAUAUACCCUUCCAGAAAAUGCAAUCCAAACAAUAUACUUCCAUGAUCAAUCAUAGUAGUAUUGUGAUUAGGAACCUUUUUUUACGGUUAGAAUAAAAAAACUAAAAAAGAAAAAUAGAACCUAAACAACAAAAUUGAUUAUGUGACUUGACUUUCAUGAUUACUUGAAAUAAUUCUAAUUAAGGUGAAGAUAACUUGUAGUAUUUCGGGUAAUUUUUUUCAAAAGUCAAAAGGCUGUUUGGGUACAAAAGAAUAUGAGUACUAAACUAUAGGUUUAAACUUAAUUUCAUUUAAAUCAAAAGAAGGGAAGGAUUUAGGCAUGUCAAUUGGGCCAUUUGAAGCGAGAUUUAACAAACUCAGGUUCUGCUUUUAUAGUUAGUAUCACUUUCGAAUUUCGAAGUAUGGGUUUUAGAUUGAUAAAUGUGAAACUUAUACUUGACUCACAAAAUAUUUAGAUUGUGAGUUUAAUUCGAACUUAACUUAAGCUCACUUGUAAUUCCUUAAUUUCUCUAAUAUAAUUACUAUAAUUAUUGAGUAUUAAACUAAUUUAAUAUCCACAUGACCAUAACAUUAAAACUAUACAAGAACCGGUAAUAGUUCAUUAAAAAAAUAUAUAAACCAAGAAUUUUUCAACAAUAAUAUAUCCAAUUAAUUCAAUGUACAUGGAAAAUAGUAAUAAAAUAUGAUCAAUAGUCAAUAAAUUUUCAAAGAUCCUCAAUUUGCUCGUACUAAGAUUUCUCCUUCUAAAUCUUUUGACAUAAUUUUGUAUAUUUAAUAUUCCUUAUAUAUAUAUUGACAAAUAACUCAUAAGUAUUAUUAUAUAUUUAGAUAUAUAAUUAUAUAUGUGUAUAUCAAAAUAUGAAUAUAUUACAUAUAAUUAUAUAUAUAUAUAUAUAUGCAUAUUAAAGGGUUGAACCUCUAUUGGGUUUGAUCCUAUUAAGGCCCAAACUCUGCUCACAUUUAAUUUGGGAUUAGACCCAACUUCAACCCAACUCAAUGAAAGGUCAGGCUCAUUAGAUUUUUUUUAAGAACCGAGUUCAAGCUGACCAGAUCCCUUUGAUAGUCCUAAAAGGAUUGCCUCCUCUACCAAAAAAAAAAAUCAGUUUUUGCCGCGCAUCCAAUAUGUGAUAAAAAGUACUUUAAACAGUAAAAUAGUAUUUGCCACAAAUUUGCAACGAUUUUGGAGGCAUCUUGUAUACAGCCGUCGCAAAUGCUUUGCAACAGUUUUGGAUCCGUGAUAAAUACUUUUUACCACUGAAAAAUCACAGUUUUAAAUUCGUCAUAAAAGAACUAUGAUAUAUAUCAUUGACUAUUUACCACAGUUUUUAACAUGGUUCGAAACUGUUACCAAUACUUUUUUGCAACAAAUUGUAGCCACGGUUUGGAAAGCAUUGAGAAAGGUCUUUGUCAUGGACUAAUUUCACAGUUUUGGUUCCGAGGAGAAAGGUUCUUAUUAAUCAUCCUAAUUUCCAAUGUUGUUAAAAGAAGGGUAAAUUAUAUUUUACCCCCUGUGGUUUAGUAUUUUUUAAAUAGCCCCCCUAUGAUUUCAAAAGCUAUACAUAACCCCCUCAUGGUUUGGAUUAAAGUGUCAAAGUAAUUGAAAUAGUCAUUCGUAACGGAAUUUCUAAAAAUUUCGAAAUUACCCUAUAAAUACAUGACACACUAACCCUAUAUGAUUUUUAUAUUUUACCAUAUAACCCCCUUAUAGCUUAAUACUUUACCAUAUAACUCCCUUAUGAUUUUCAAAAUAUACACAUAACCUCCCUUGGUUAAUAAAUAAUUUUUAACUUUACAUAAGAGUAUCUUUGACAUUUUAGGUGACUCCGUUACGAAUGAUCAUUUCCGUCACUUUGAUUUUUUGAUCUAAACCAUUAGGGGGUUAUGUAAAAAACACUAAACCGCAGGGGGGGUAAAGUGAAAUUUGCCCUUAAAAGAAAUAUCAAAAGAUAAAUGUUUAAGAUCUAUUGCCAUAAUUUACACAAGUAAAAUAGCUAAAGUUUUUAUUAAAAAUCGCACAAAUAAGUGCGUACAAGUUACCAAAAACAUAGCAUAUAUUGCACGAAAUUAUGCCAAUCCAAAGUGAUUACCAUUUGAAAGCUAAUACAAUGGUCUAACCCUUUAGAAGAACAUCUCUAGUACACUAACAUUUUGGGACCACCCAAUAAAGAUUUCAUGAUUACAAAUUACUUCCAAAAACAUCUGAGAACGAAUGAGCUGGAUGAAUUUUUUCACAUUCCCCAUCAUUACUAAUCGUACCCUACAAAACAAUGUUAAAACUGUAAUUAGUAUCACAUUAUCACCAAAGAAGUUAAAAAGGCACAAAGUCAAUAUUAAAGUACAUCUAGAAUCCAAUUCAUGAGCCCAAGAAAAAAAAUACAAUGAUUAAUCAACCGUGGCAAAUAGUAGCAUAAUUACCACGAUUUAUUGUUGUUACCAACAAAAGUGUGGUAAGAAGUUUUUGACAUCACGGUUACUAAAACCAUGUCAAAAAGUCACUUUUAUACACGAAUUGAGAACUAUGACAAAAGAAAGUGUGGUUUUCACUUUUUUUGUAGUGCUCAGAUUUUUGGGCUAAUUCAUUUCCCACUCAAAAAGAGUAAGAAAGGGAAUUUAGGGACUAGAUGAUUAGAGUGGGGGCUUGCUUGGUUGGAUAGGUUAAUUUGGUAAUUUUGAUUAUGACGUGUUUUAUUAGAUAUUAGGAAUAUGUGAAUUUGCCAAAACUAAUAUGUUUUUAAGAAUUUUAAAUCUUUCUAUUACUACUUCUCAAAAAUUUCCAAAGGGAGAAACACAAAUUUGAUUCUCAAUGUUUGACCUAUACAUCAAACUGGUCUCUAAUGUAUCAGCCAAAACAAAUCCGGUCUCUAAAUUUCUGAUUUUAACUUUACAUUUUUAGUCCCUAAUGUUUGAAGUUUCAAUCAAUAUGGUCUCUUAAGUUUCUAGUUAUAGUUAAGGGUUUUAAAAUGAAAGAAAAGUUGUGCAUUGAACUAAAGAUAUGACAAAUGUCAUCCUAAAUUCCUAUAAAAUUUCAUAAAAACACUUUAUAUCGACAUAAUAAUAUCAUUGAACUUAAAGAGUUUUAUUUUUUUUUUGAACAAGUUACAAUCAAAUGACAAUAUAUACAUAAUAUAUAAAAUAAAAAAGGAAAAUUCUAGUAUUAAUAUAAAAUUUAUUAUCAUUCAUGCCAGUUCUUGCAUGACUUGUGCAUAUAGGCCUUAAAUUAUUAUAGUUAGGUAUUGCAAUUAUAAAAACCAGCAAACAUAAAUACCAAUAUGAAGUGCUUUUACUUAUUAUGGGUUAAUCAUCAGUUAAUUACUAAUAGUAUAAAACAAAAAUCACAUAUAUAAUACCAAAUUUGAGACCAAUUAUACCAAAGGGAAGAAGUAUAUGAGACAUUAGUGGCAUGAAUAAAUGAAGUAAAAAAUAAAAAUUUUAAUUAGAAUUGCUAGUAUCCAUUUAAGACAAUUGUGUUGUAAUUCGUGUCUUAUUUUAUCCUAAUACCCUCAAUACCACUAUUGAAAACUUAAGAGACUAAAAUGAUUAAAAUUUCAAAUAUUAGGGUCCAAAAGUAGAAAGUCAAAAUUAUUAAAUAACAAUAAUUAAAUUUUGACCGUUAGUCAUUGUUGAGUUUUCAUUAUUAUUGAAUGCACCUACUACCAAAAACUUUGAGAAGCAAAUUUAUUUUGAUUGGAACAUUAGAAACUAAUUUAGCACAUAUGCUAAAAAUUGGAGACUGAAACUGCAAUUCUCCUUUUUUUUUUUGUCUUAUUUUUGUGCACAAGUCUGAAUUUUUUUUUUAACCUUUGAUAUCACACAAUGGUCCAAACCGACUGACAUUAGUUAAUAGAUUUAGUUGUUAAAAUGACUUUGUGAAUUGUGAGGGUGGUAAUAUGUAGAAAAAUUCUGUUUGGUAGAAUUUGGGUAAAAGGAAGGUGCGUUUGAUAAAAUUAAAGUUGAAAACUAAAGUGUGAAGUUUGAAUUCUAUAAAGUUAAGUUGUUGAAUUGUUAAGUAUUAGGCUCAAUUUGAUAACUCAAUUUAACACUUAAAAUUAAUGGAUUCAGAUAUUAACAUGUUUGGCACAUUUGGUAACCAAAAAUUGCACAACUAAAUUAAUUAAAUGACGCUGAAUUUUUAGGCAAAAUUUGCUUCAAAAAUAAAUUAUACCGAAUUUUCUAGGCGCCAAUGUAUCAUAUUUAGUAUUUAACAAUUAAAUAAUUUAAUGAAUUCAAACUUCAGAUUUCUAUUUUCAUUUUGGAAGCAAAUUUUGUCUAGAAAAUUCAAUACCACUUAAUUAAUUUAGACCUUGUUUACUAACCAAUUCAGCACUUAAAUUUAAUGGAUUCAGAUCUUAAUAUGUUCUAAUAUGUUUGAUAACGAAAAAUUGAACAUUUGAAUUAAUUAAGUGGUAUUGAAUUUUUUAGGCAAAACUUGUUAAAAAAAUAAGUGAUAAAUUAUUCAUUUAUCAGUGAAUGUGAUACACUAAAAUAUAUUUGAUUUAAUAUUUAACAAAUCAAUAAUUUAAUGGAAUUAGAUUUCAAUUUUAAGACUCUAGUUUUAUCAAAGGCACCCUUAAAUCGUGGGAAAUUGAGUUAUCAAAAAGGACCUAAAUUAUUUAGUAUAAAUCACGUUUUAUAUUAGUAAAGUUAGUAUAAACCUCAUUUGCGAAAUAUAAAUACGAGUAUCAUUUGCCAUACAAAUUACAAUCCAUUAACUCAAUAGUACUGGGAAUGAAACACCAGACUCAGAAAAGAAUGGCGGAAAAACUUGUGACAGCAAAAACAGAAGAAAAAGCAAAAGAAUUGGAAGAAGAAGCAAUGAAAGUGGAACUGAAAACCAAGGAGGAGCUGAAGCCCUGGGAGCAGCACUCUGCUGUGAUCACCAUUCCUCGUUUUGACUACAACGCCCCUCUUCUCUCCUCAGUCAUUCCCACUCCGGAUUCCUCAUCACCUGCCCCAUCAGUAAGGCCCCUCAUCCCAUAUCUUCUGUCCAGAAAGCUAUUUUUUUUUUCCUAUUUUUGUACCUCACUGGCAUUUAUUUAUGAAAUUUGCAUCUGGGUUUUUGAAAAUUUUCAAUUUGAUUGUUUGGGAUAGUCUGGGCAGUGUGGUGAUUGAUAAAAAUGCUUCCUUUGUUAUGUAGAGAGGGAGAAGAGGGCAACAAAAGAAGCCAUGUCAAUUCUUGAAAAGGUAAUGAAUUCUGCUGGUUUUGUCUCUUGUCAGUUCUCUGGAAUAAUGUCAAAAUAAGGAAAUUUUAGACAAAGAAAAUUCAUGCUGACUUGAGAAUCAGGACAGUUAAAUUGGUUUAGUGAACUUGGUUUUAUGGGAUUCUUAAAUUCUGGGCAAGGUUGGGAACUUGGGGUAUUUGGAAGUGAAUAAGACUGUAGCGGACUUGAAUUACUGGCAUAAUGUGUUCGCUGCUAUAAUUGUUUUGGUUUAAGAUGAAGAGUAGCAAUGUUACAGAAUUGGUUUCUAAAGAAAGAGAUGUUUGAAAGAUUAAGCAUAAGUAAACGGCGAAUGGGACGGCGACUAAUUGAUAAAACUGAGGAAGUUUGGAGAACUGGGUGAGCUGUGCAGAAGAUAGGCACAGGCAUGUUGUGUUGUUCAAAUGCAUUAGGUAUUGGAGAGGGGGGGGGGCAAACAAACUAAAGUUGUUUACUGUUUUAAACGUGAUAAAUUUUUGGAAAUGAAGUGUAAUGCUAAUGGUCUUCAUCUGUGAGAAUAAUGGCAAAAUUAUGCAUUUAACACUAUUUCCAUCUGUUGAACUUAGUCUAGGAAAAAUGUUUAUGAUUUUUGGGUUCUAAACUUGAUUAAGAUUUCGGUUUGCUGACAAACAGAAGGAUAAGAUGUCAAUUAUCCUGCCAAUAGGUUAUUAACAUAUGAGUCUAGUAGCUGGUUUCAAAUUUUUUUGCAUAUGAUCUUCCACUUCAUCCAUUUAUUUGUAGCCGGUGCAUUUUUAGGUCACAGAUUAGUAUGGUUUAGUCCUUGUUUACAAGUCUUAUUCAAGUUGUUUUGCUUACACUCUGUCAUUUGUCACUUGUUCAAUCGAGUGACUGCUUAAGUCUGCUGUGCCUUCUUGAGUAAAUGACAUGAUUCGACAUCCAAAAUGCAUCACUGGUUAAAUUCUUUAUCACUCACAGCUUUCCAGUAUAUGUAUAUGAGUUACCAAUUUCCUUGAAUUUGAAGAGGCUUAUGGAUACAUAGUAACCUUAGCUUAAGCUUGAGCACAUAACUCAUACAGGUUAGGCACAAAUUCACCUUACUAAUACGGAACCUUUGCAUUGUUUUCUUUGAAAAUAAAUCGGAAACAAUAGAUAGAAGAUAUGCAAUAUUUUCUGGCAUAAGAAAAAUUUUUUAAAUAUAAAAGCAAUUUAAUAAGUGUAUCGUUAUAUUUCUCUAAAGAAUGACAUGGUCUUAAGUGAUCAUAUUUCUGGAAGGAGAAGACUGUUAGUCCAAUUUUGUUCGGCAUUUGAGACAUCAGAUAUUAUAUGCAUGAAAUAUAUAGCUGAUUGCCAAUCAUCUAUUUUGAGUUCUCAAGAAAUAGAUAUAUAAGCUUCAGUUUUGCUUUUAACAUUAAAAAGGCAUUCUUCAUUGCAGCAGCUUUGGAUAAUUGUCUUUUAUUCAUACCUAAAGGGACUUGUAUAGGCAUGAGAUGUUGCACUCUUCUAGGGCCCAAAUAAUAAGUGGACAAUUUAGAGUUAGCUUAAAAUCUUGUGGCAGACAACUUGUUUGCAAUUGUUUUUGGAUAUAUUUACACCAGAAGCCAAGCGUUGCUGAGGCUUAUCACUAUGUGACAGAAAUGAAUGAGUUUCAGUUAUAUUUGAAGUCCUCUCCAAUGCCUGUAUCAUUUUUAUUUCUUGGACCUCUCUUGUUGCAAAAGGAAGACAAAUGAUGAACCAACUUGGAGAAUGGGAAGGUGUGCAUCUGGUGCUUGCAAGAUUCUAUUCUUUUGACUUCAUGGAGUUUUUAUAAAAGCUGUGUGCUGAAAUAGGGCUUCAAACUGAUGUUGAUACAUUGAUAAAUUAUGCGUUCCAUUCUUUUUUUAUGAAUGCCAUCAAUAUUCACGACUGAUGCAACCAAUGAAGAGUUUAAGGGAAGAGUAAAUUUUAAUAUUCCUGGGAACUUGGCUGAAGAUCGAAUUUACCCACUUUGAAGAAUGGGUAAUCUUUUUAGGAUCUCGUGUAUUUAUUAAAAAUUUAAAUUCUACGUAUUUCAGUAGACUUGAAAUUUAUGGUGCUUUAGUAGCUUAUGGGUAUUUUACGUGUUAUGGGUAUUGGGUAAACUGACAGUGGACACUUCGGCCGUUGUUUGAGACCAUAGGCUUAUUCAUUGACUUUGAUGGAAGGGUUUUUAAUUGAAAUGUUGGGAUUCAUCACCUCAAUUUCCUGUCAUAAGACAUUCUGGUCCCCAGGGCUGAACUGAAGCCCGGUACAUAUUGCAUGUACUAUUGUACACACACCCACAGACCCAGGUUGGUUAGGCCAUCCUUGAAGGAGUUGUUUAAGUUAUUCAUUGGUGAAUUUUUUAUGCAUCUUUGUCUUGGAAGCACUACAAGAAAUUUGGCCUUUUGUGACAAUAAAAAGUUAUCACUAAAAAUAAGAAAGUCGUCAUUAUAUGAAUAUAGUGACGACUUUUUCCAUUGUCACAUCGUUGUCACUAAUUCUAUGUCACAAAUGGGUACGUGUGACAACCUCUACAAAGUCGUCACUAAAUAUUAUUAUUUAAUGACGAAGACUAAGUCGUCACUAAAGAAUAGUAUUCUGUGACGAAGUUUCUUGUCACUGUUUCCAAAAUUUUUUUGUCAUAAAAGAUAGCAGAGGUCAUCACAAAUUUGAACGCGCACAGUGACGACUUAAACUUGUCACUCUCACUCCUAGUAUUUUGUGACAAGAAUAAUCGUCACUUAGUGAACUUACAACUUUGUCUACAAGAGCUGCAAUUCUAUUGCAUUUUCAACAACCAUAGCAGAAAAUUGCGGCUCGACUAAUGCAAAAAAUGAUAGUAAUUAAUGUACAAUGAACCCUCAAAUAUAUAUAUAUAUAUAGUUAUAAACAUCUCUAAAUUCAUCACAACACACAUUAACCAAAAUGGGUUCCAAAGCCCACAUUAGUUCAACUACUAACAGCCAUUAUCCAUCCAAACAAUAGAGUACUAAAUUCACAUUAGUUCAACUAGUAGCAACCAUUACGCAUCCAAAAAAACAAAGUACUCUUUCCAAACAAAAACAUAGACUAAAGCAGCAAUUUGUGUCAAACUGAAGUCAUCUUCAUGAGCAUAUCCAAAAGCCAACCUUUUUCACCUCCUCAAGAGCAUUUAAUAGCAUUGUACUGCAUUGAAAGAAAAGUAUCAUAUGCAUUAGAAUCGAUUUCAGUCAAAAAAUAUGCCAUUACAAGCAUACACUACUGAAUUUGAAUGAAUAGUCAUACUGAACAAAAAUCCAAUUAAGUCAAUAUGAUAAGCUCCCACCAACAUCACGUACAAUGUCACACCACAUGACCAUACAUCUGCAAUCUAGAAAAUAGACAGCAAUUACAAAAUGAAUGAAGACCUUCUUGAGACAAAACUAUUUAAUGAGCAGAAAGUAGGCAGCAGUGCCUGCCUGUUAAGCAGGAAGAAAUGAACUGAACAAGCAUAACCACUAGCACAAAGUUUACAAGAUACUUGAGACAAGGGCCAUAUUGCUGAUUUAGAAGCAACAGUACUACUACUUUUGACUAUGUUUGGAUGCAAGUUGGGGAUACUAGUCGAUCUAGUAAUACCAUAUCACAGCAAAAGGGAGGAAAUCCCAUUAUACUAUCACAGUGAAGAGUUAACGAGAAGAGGAAACUAAUGCUCAGAGGGAGAGAAUCUCUGUAAAUUCUUCAAGAAUUUUGAUGAUACAGACCUUCCCAUCAUAUUCCUUCCUUGACAGGACCUCAGGUGCAAUAGAUGCUGGUGUUCCAACUACCGAUUUGGGUUGUGAGUGCAACAAACCAGACUGCAAGUAAAUGCCAGAAACCAACAAAAUUUCAAAUUAUCCACAAAAAAAUAUGAAGUCAAUUGAAUCACAAUUUUUUUUAAUUCCAAAUGCAAAGAUUUGUAACCUUAGAAUAACCAAAAUCACAUAUUUUAAGACGUGGUGUUGGACUCCCAUCCAAAAGUGUGUUUUCUAGCUUCAAGUCCCUGUGACAGAUUUCCUGCGUUGAGAGAACAAUGAGAUAAUAAUAAGAGGACUCAAAAAGAAUAAAUAGUUCUAAUAUCUCACCAUUGAAUGACAGUAACUAACACCAGAUAUUAGCUGCUGGAAGAAAAAGCGAGCCUGCGUUUUAACAAUAAGAAAGUCCCAUAAGUAUCUCUCUAUAAAAUCAAUGCCAAAAGAAAAUGAGAUCAAGGCAAACGAAAUAUAUUUUGCAUGUUUUUACAUCUCAUCUUCAUUGAAUCCACUAGCACUACAAAUUUUUGCAAAGAGCUCUCCACCAGCAGCAUAUUCCAUCACAAUAGCUAAAUGUGUCGGAGUUAGCACGACCUGCAAACAAAAGUAUGCUUCAAAACAUGGCUCCAUGAUUUUUAUCACAGACAUCUCCCACUAAGGAAGUUGAAAGUACAAACAAGUUUCUCAUCCUGAUUCAUAAUCUAGUUCCAUUUUCUAUCUUGUCAGCUCUCAUCUAUGACCUCAAAGACAACGCUCUUUUCUAUUUAAUUGAAGCCGAAAACAGGACCCAUUCCAUUCCCUCUAGAAAAAGUGUAAUCUGAGUGCCAAAGUCUUGAACUACCGAUUAGCAACCAACUUCGGCCGAAUAAAAAUGUCUUCCUGUACCACUUAUAUUAAGCAUGAAAAAGCAGUACAUGUCGCUACUUUAACAUGCUUUACUCAGACCUUGAGGAAUGGGACUACUUCUAGAUAAUAAGACACAAAUUUUUCUAGGUGUCCCCACCUCUAAAAAUGCUGUAUUUCUUCCAAAAUCUAACUCCAAUUAUUAGGACAUUCGCUGCUUAUAUAAUGGAAAAUAUAUACUUUAUAGGCGUUUAUCAGUUUUAUAGCUAGACUCUUCAUCACUGGAGGCUCGAUGCAAGAUAAAUUUGACAAGGUGAAUCCAUUCAUCAAGAAAACUCAUGUGUGUGAUAGUGUUCAUCCUUGAACUUCACUUAAUUUAAUAGCUGAUCUAAUAAACGCCACUUAAUUUAACAAAUCAAUAGCUGAUCAAAAUAUGACCAUCAAACUAUUAAAUUUGACAACAUCUUAGGCACACAAAAAGAAGUCCUAGAAUGUUAAGAACCAAAUGAUACUUGAGUCUUUAAUCAUCCUCAGAAACACACAUCACCAGGAAGGAGAUGCAAAAUAUGUUACACCAGAAUUUACCUUUUACCAGAUUUGACAGACCAUUUUCCUUCAAACUUCUUGAAAUCACCAUCAACCGUGGAAAACUGGAGUUCACGGUCAUUUGCCUAAAUAAAUUUCAUUUGCAAAUAGUUAACUGAGAUAAAGUUAUCACAUAAGAAUGCCUAGUUACUACUACCUACUCCAUCAGAAUGAAAAUGUAGUUUAACAUCUCACAUUAUAUUACUUGCAAUAACUGCUUUGUUGUCUUUGCCUUUUGUAAUGAAUACCGGCUUUUCAAUGUUGAUGUAUAUAUUCGCCCUUACCCUACUCAUAUCUUUAUCAAAGUUCAAUAGUUAAAUGUUCUUCACUUGAAGAAAGUUUCUAUGUAACAGAUGCAAAAAAAAUUUGCAGCUCAAAUAGCAGCCUGACAUAUAUAGUUAAUAUCUUAAGAUUAUAGAAAUGCUUUAAUAUCUCAAGUUUACCAGAUGACUGCUUUAAUCCCCUAUCAAAUGACCUGUAAAUCUCAUCCAAUUUCUCAAAUGCUGAUUUCGUCCAAACAAUAAACCUCCUAACGUGAUCUCCCAUUGUAUCCGAUCCCUUGACUGCUGCCAUUUCUUGUCCUCCUUCCAGCUUUCAUCAUUCCUUUUCCCAUUUUCCUCCUCCUCCGUCUCUCUGCAGUCUGCAUCUGCUUCCUCGUGAUGGACAUGGUCUCAGCUUCAGAAGCAAAUAAUAAUAAUAAUAAUGAGCAAAACCCACGGAACCCCACCAGAAAAAAUGUGCCACCACAUGUUUUUAAGAAAUUCAUUAGAUUGAUUUGAAGACCUAGAGCAACCAAAACUAUAGAUAAGUCUCAAUCAACUACGUAUCUCAACAUGCAUAACUUUCAACUGCAACAUCUGAGAGCCUAAAUUGCAAAUAACAUAAUUUAGCAAAACAUGAAUCUAAGAGAAGCUUGAACUUGGUGGUGCUGAACUAUACCUCCAGAUCCACGGCCAAAGCCAGGCCUUCCACCAGAACCCCUGAAAGUAGGCUGGAAAUCCGCAGGAGCUCCACCUUUCUCACCACCAAACUCACCAGGAGGUCUAGGGGACCAGCACGAUACCCCUCCCUGUCACCAAAUCUGGGCCUACCCCCAUCAAACCUUGGUGGUCCGCGAGGGCAGUCACCAAGAGGUCCACCCAUAGGACGACUGAGGGGCUUGGCGGACUUCUUAAGAGUAGCAGGAAUAAUUUCAGAGGGAAGAUUGAGGUAAGUCCUCAAGAACUCGAUGCCGUCGUUCGUAAGAUACCAGUAGUAAUGCAUCCAAGCGAAGGUUUCCCGGACGUUCUCCUUGGACUUGAAGCUCUGCAUCAGCUUAAUCACCUGCAAGUUUGGGACAUCAAUCUCGGGAUGCUUCGCCAAAUUAAAAUCUUUCUUCGCUAUUAUCCAACGACCAUUGAGUUCCAAGAGACAACAUCUCUCCUGGGCAUCUCGUCUAGGACAGAACGAGCACCCGUCAAACUCCCACAUUUCCCAUACAUGGCUAUUAAACCAUUCCCGACAUAUAAAUUUCCAUCAAGAUUCAUUUUCAAGACUUGGGUAUGAACUUGCAAGCCAACCCGCAGAUCCAUAGAGGCAGAGCAAGCUUUUAGAAUACAGGGGAAUGUAUAAUAAUCAGGGUUCGUGUUACUCGAAUUCAUGCUCUUAAACAUGAAGAGAGCAUCAUGAUAAAGAUGGUUGUUGACGUAGCUUCUAAUCAUAACAUUAAAAAUCACAACAUUUCUCUCGGGAAUUCUAUCGAAUAUCUGGCGGGUAAUACUGGUUUGGCCACGAGCAGCAUAGGCCCGCAUCAACUUGAUGCCAAAGGAAAUGCAGGAGUUGAGG
rnacentral:lncRNA from 1 species